ACCAUAAAGCCUAAGCUUGGGGAUGCCCCGGGAAGGCAUCCCCUCUUUCGUCUUCAAUCCAUCGGUAACAUUACUUGGAGCUAUAUUUUUAUUCACCACAUGAUAUGUGUUUUGCUUGGAGCGUCUUGUAUCGUAGGAGACUUUUCUUUUUGUUGUGUCACAAUAAUCCUUGCUGCACACCUUUUUGAGGGAGAGAGAGAGAGAGACAUGCACUCAUCGUGAUUUUGCUAGAAUGCUCAUAGUGCUUCACUUAUAUCUUUUGAGCUAGAUACUUUUGCUCUAUGUGCUUCACUUAUAUCUUUUAGAGCACGGCGGUGCGUGACUUGGUAGUUGUCUUAUGCUAUGAAAGUAGUCCCAAAGGUGAUAGGUACCCAAAGAUAAUGCAAAAACCUCCAUCUUCAUGUGCAUUGAGUAGAAAGAGAAGUCUUGAUUCCUCUCAAUUAGUUUUGAGAUGUGGAUUUGGUAAUAUUAAGAGCUAUGUUAGUAGGGUGUUGUGAAUCUAGAAAUACUUGUGUUGAAGUGAGUGAUUCCCGUAGCAUGCACGUAUGGUGAAUCGCUAUGUUAGGAAGUCGGAGGAUAAUUGAUCUAUUGAUUGUCAUCCUUUGUGUUGAGGUCGGGAUCGCAUGAUGGUUAACACCUACCAACCCUUCCCCUAGGAAUAUCCGUUUAGCACUUUGUUUCGAUUACUAAUAAAAACGUUCGCAACAGGUAUGUGAGUUCUUCAUGACUAAUGUGAGUCCAUGGUAUAGAUGCACUUUCACCUUCCACCAUUGCUAGCCUCUUUAGUGCCGCGCAAUUCUCGCCGGUGCACAAACCCACCAUAUGCCUUCCUCAAAACAUCCACCAUACCUACCUACUAUGGCAUUUUCAUAGCCAUUCUGAGAUAUAUUGCCAUGCAACUCCCACCGUUCCGUCUCAUGACUUGUGUCAUCACUCUCAUAUUGCCAUUGCAUGAUAGUAAGAUAGCUAGCGAGAUGUUUCCAACAUCAUAUGCCAUGCUAGAUCGUUGCACAUCCCGGUACACUGCCGGUGGCAUUUCCUAUAGAGUCAUCAUCAUUUUGAGCUUUGAAGUUGUGAGUAAAUAAAAGUGUGAUGAUCAUAAUUAUUAGAGCAUUGUCCCAUGUGAGGAAAUAAAAAAUAGAGGCCAAAGAGCCCAAAAUAAAAAAAAGGGAAAAAAGAGGCCUAAGAGCCCAAAUGAAAAAAAAGAGAAAAAGAGAGAAGGGACAAUGCUACUAUCUUUUUCCACACUUGUGCUUCAUAAUAGCACCAUGUUCUUCAUCAUUGAGAGCUUCUUUCUUUGUCACUACCAUAUGCUGGUGGGAAUCUUCAUUAUAUAACUAGGCUUGUAUAUACCAAUGAUGGGCUUCCUCAAAAUUGCCCUAGGUCUUCGUGAGCAAGCAAGUUGGAUGCACACCCACUAGUUCUCCUUUUGAGCUUUCACAUACUUAUAGCUCUAGUGCAUCCCUUGUAUGGCAAUCCCUACUCAUUCACAUUGAUAUCUAUUAAUGGGCAUCUCCAUAGCCCUAAGAUACGCCGAGUCAAUGUGACCAUCUCCUCCUUUUUGUCUCACAACCACCACCACACUCUAUUCCACCUAUAGUGCUAUAUCCAUGGCUCACGCUCAUGUAUUACGUGAUAGUUCUAAAAAGUUUGAGAAAGUAAGAGUGCGAAAACAAUUACCUGGCCAAUACAGGGGUUGUGCAUGAUUUACAUUAGUUGUGUGAGGAUGAUGGAGCAUAGCCAGACUAUAUGAUUUUGUAGGGAUAACUUUCCUUGGCCUUGUUAUUUUGAAAGUUCAUGAUUACCUUGCUAGUUUGCUUGAAGUAUUGUUGUUUUCAUGUGAGUAACAAACUAUUGUUUCGAAUCUUACGGAUCUGAACAUUCAUGUCACGUGAAAGAAGUUGCAAAGGACAACUAUGCUAGGUAGCAUUCCACAUCAAAAAUUCAUUCUUUAUCACUUCCCUACUCGAGGACUAGAAGGAGUUAAGCUUGGGGAUGCUUGAUACGUCUCCAACGUAUCUAUAAUUUUUUAUGGUUUCAUGCUAUUAUCUUGUCAAACUUUGGAUGUUUUGCAUGCCUUUUAUAUCUUUUUUGGGACUAACUUAUUAACUCAGUGCCAAGUGCCAGUUCCUACUUUUUCCAUGUUUGUGACCCCUUUCAGAGGAGAUUUUGAAACGGAGUCCAAACGGAAUAAUAUCCCCGAAAAGAUUUUUUCCGUAAUGGAAGAAGAUCAGGAGACUUGAGAGCUAAGGCAGGGGGCCUCAGGGGCCCCACAAGCCCCCACCACGCGGCCAGGGGGGAGGCCGCGGCCCACAGGAUUGUGGGCCCCCUGGACGUCCUUUGCCCUAGGUUUUGCGCCUAUAUGUCCCCAAAAAUUCCACAAAAAAUCAGGACAUCAUCGAAAGUACUUUUCUGUCGCCGCAAGCUUCUGUCUCCGCAAGAUCCCAUCUGGGGCACGUUCUCGUGCCCUGCCGGAGGGGGAUUCGGAUACGGAGGGCUUCUUCGUCAACACCAUGACCUCUCCGAUGAUGCGUGAGUAGUUCACCAUAGACCUACGGGUCCAUAGCUAGUAACUAGAUGGCUACUUCUCUCUCUUGGAUCUUCAAUACAAAGUUCUCCAUGAUCUUCAUGGAGAUCUAUCCGAUGUAAUCUUCUUUUGCGGUGUGUUUGUCGAGAUCCGAUGAAUUGUGGAUUUAUGAUCAGGUUAUCUAUGAAUCUUAUUUGAGUUUCUUCUGAUCUCUCUUAUGCAUGAUUUCAUAUCCUUGUAAUUCUCUUCGAGUUGUGGGUUUUGUCUGGCCAACUAGAUCUAUGAUUCUUGCAAUGGGAGAAGUGCUUGAUUUUGGGUUCAUACCGUGCGGUGACCUCACCCAGUGACAGAAGGGGUAGCGAGGCACGCAUCAUGUUGUUGCUAUCAAGGGUAAAAAGAUAGGGUUUUCAUCAUUGGUUUGAUAUUAUCCCUCUACAUCAUGUCAUCUUGCUUAAGGCGUUACUCUGUUCGUCAUGAACUCAAUACACUAGAUGCAUGCUGGAUAGCGGUCGAUGUGUGGAGUAGUAGUAGUAGAUGCAGAAAGUAUCGAUCUACUUGUCUCGGACGUGAUGCCUAUAUGUAUGAUCAUUGCCUUAGAUAUCGCCAUGACUUUGCGCGGUUCUAUAAAUUGCUCGACAGUAAUUUGUUCACCCACCGUGAUAUUUUCUAUUUUGAGAGAAGCCUCUAGUGAACACUAUGGCCCCCGGGUCUACUCCACACCAUAUUUUCAGCCUUACACUUUUUACUUCGUUGCAUUUUUCGCCUUCAGAUCUCACUUUGCAAACAAUGUUGGAGGGAUUGACAACCCCUUUGAAGCGUUGGGUGCAAGCUCGUUUGUGUUUGCGGAGGUACUCUGGACUUGACGAGACCCUCCUUCUGGAUCGAUACCUUCGUUCUCAAACUGAGGGAAAUACUUACUGCUCCUGUGCUGCAUCACCCUUUCCUCUUCAAGGGAAAAACCGACGCACACAAGAGAAGUAGCAAGAAGAAUUCCUGGCGUUGCGAGGGAAGGACUUUUGUUGUCGUAGCAACCAUCUAUGAUUGUGAACACUCACUAAACUAUUGCAUGCUUAGAAGUAGAUGUUGGACAAGGAAGACAACAUAAUGAAUUAUGUUUGCUUGGUUCCGAACAAUGAUUAUAUGACUAGAGAUCCCUUAGCAUGUGACGAUUGCUUCGACCUCAUAUCAGCCAAAACUUCCGCACUAAGUAGAGAUACUACUUGUGCAUCCACAAACCUUCAACCCCAGUUUUUCCAUGAGAGUCCACCAUACCUACCUAUGGAUUGAAGAAGAUCCCUCAAGUAAGUUGUCAUCGGUGCAAGCAAUAAAAAUUGCUCCCUAAAUAUGUAUGACCUAUUAGUGCGUGGAAAAUAAGCUUUGAACGAACCUGUGAUGAGGAAGACAUAAAAGCGAGAGACUGCAUAAUAAAGUUCUUUAUCACAUGAGGAAAUAUAAGGUGACGUUCCUUCACACUAAGAGGUCACACAUCCAAACCUCAAAAGCACAUGACAACCUCUGCUUCCCUCUGUGAAUGGCCUAUCUUGUACCUUUACUUUUUGCCCUUGAAAGAUUCGUGGUGAUCUACACCAAUUCCUUAUUUCGCCUUUUUUUCUUGGCUAACAUCAUAUGCUAGGGAAAGAUCUAUAUUCAUAUGUCAAAUUGGAAGUAAGUAUUCAUGAAUUAUUAUCGUUGGCAUUACCCUUGAGGUAAAUAGUUGGGAGGCGAAACUAUAAGCCCAUAUCUUUCUGUGUGUCCGACUGAAACUUUGAUCUCAUGAGUACCACGUGAGUUGUAGCAAUUGUAGAAGACGAAAGGAUGAUUGAGUAUGUGAAUUUGCUUUACAAGCUCUUAUUUGACUCUUUCCGAUUUUAUGAUAAAUGGCAAUUGCUUCAAUGACUAUAGGCUAUUGGUUGUUAAUUCUCAGUAAGGUUCUUGAUCCUUACUUUACUUUGUGAAGGAAUUGUCACUUUAGCAUGAGAGAUUAUAUGAUGAUAUUGUUGUUCUGAUUAUGAUCAUGAUGCCUGCAUGUCCGUAUCUUGUUUAGUCGACACCUCUCUCUCUAAACAUGUGGGCAUAUUUAUUGAUCUCAGUUUUCGCUUGAGGACAAGCGAGGUCUAAGCUUGGCGGAGUUGAUACGUCCAUUUUGCAUCAUGCUUUCUUGUUGAUAUUUAUCUCUUUAUGGGAUGUUAUUACACUUCACGGUACAAUACUUAUGCCUUUUCUCUCUUAUUUUGCAAGUUUUACAUGAAGAGGGAGAAUGCCGGCAGCUGGAAUUCUGGCUUGAAAAAGGAGCAAGUUUGAGAUACCUACUGUGCGCAACUCCAAAAGUCGUGAAAAUCAACGAGGAUUUAUUUUGGAAUUUAUAAAAAAUACUAGGCCGAAGAAGUACCAGAGUGGAGCCAGCAGGAGGCCACAAGCCUUCUAGGUGUGGCCUAACCCCCUAGCCGCGCCUAGGGGGCUUUUGGGUCCCUAGUUGCCCUCUGGCUCCCCUCUUUUGCUAUAAGGAGGGUUUCGUUCCAGAAAAAAUCAAGAGGAGGCUUUCGAGAGGAAUCGCCGCCGCCACGAGGCGGAACUUGAGCAGAACCAAUCUAGAGCUCCGGCAAGGUCGUCCUACCGGGGAAACUUCCCUCCCGGAGGGGGAAAUCGUCGUCAUCGUCAUCACCAACACUCCUCUCAUCGGAGGGGACUCGUCACCAUCAACAUCUUCAUCAGCACCAUCUCAUCUCCAAACCCUAGUUCAUCUCUUGUAACCAAUCUCCGUCUCGUGACUCCAAUUGGUACUUGUAAGGUUGCUAGUAGUGUUAAUUACUCUUGUAGUUGAUGCUAGUUGGACUACUCGGCGGAAGAUUAUAUGUUCAGAUCCUUGAUGCUAUUCAAUACCUCUCUGGUCAUGAAUAUUAUUAUGCUUUGUGAGUAGUUAUUUUUGUUCCUGAGGACAUGGGAUAAGUCAUGCUAUUAGUAGUCAUGUAAAUUUGGUAUUCGUUCGAUAUUUUGAUGCGAUGUAUGUUGUUUUUCCUCUAGUGGUGUUAUGUGAACGUGGACUACAUAACACUUCACCAUUAUUUGGGCCUAGAGGAAGGCAUUGGGAAGUAAUAAGUAGAUGAUGGGUUGCUAGAGUGACAGAAGCUUAAACCCUAGUUUAUGCAUUGCUUCGUAAGGGGCUGAUUUGGAUCCACUAGUUUAAUGAUAUGGUUAGACUUUGUCUUAAUUCUUCUUUCGUAGUUGCGGAUGCUUGCGAGAGGGGUUAAUCAUAAGUGGUAUGUUUGUCCAAGUAAGGGCAGCACCCAAGCACCGGUCCACCCACAUAUCAAACUAUCAAAGUAGCGAACGCGAAUCAUAUGAACAAGAUGAAAACUAGCUUGACAGAAAUUCCCAUGUGUCCUCGGGAGCGGUUUACCUCCUAUAAGAGUUUGUCCAGGCUUGUCCCUUGCUACAAAAUGGAUUGGGCCACUUUGCUGCACCGUUGUUACUUUUGUUACUUGCUACUUUCUACGAAUCAUCUUAUCACACAACUAUUUGUUACCGAUAAUUUAAGUGCUUGCACAGAUUACCUUGCUGAAAACCACUUGUCAGAUCCUUCUGCUCCUCGUUGGGUUCGACACUCUUACUUAUCGAAAGGACUAGAUAGAUCCCCUAUACUUGUGGGUCAUCAUGGCGCUAUCAUUGUUAACUCUACAACUUUUGGUCUCAAUGUUAUGUAUAUGUGUGUCAUCACAAUCAAGAUUCAACAUGAACAAGCCCCUCACAUUGGGUGCAUGACCAUAAAAGAUAUUACUCAUCAAAAUAGAGCAGCCAUUAUUCUCUGACUUAAAUGAGUAACCGUCUCGCAAUAAACAAGAUCUAGAUAUAAUGUUCAUGCUUACCGCAUGCACUAAAUAACAAUUAUUUAAGUUCAUAACUAAUCCUGAUGGUAACGGAAGUGACAUUGUGCCGACGGCGAUUGCAAUAACCUUGGAACCAUUUCCCAUGCGCAUCGUCACUUCAUCCUUCACCAGCCUUCGUUUAUUCCGCAGUACCUAUUUCGAGUUGCAAAUAUGAGCAACAGAACCGGUAUCAAAUACCCAGGCACUACUACGAGAGCUCGUUAAGUACACAUCAAUAACAUGUAUAUCACAUAUACGUGGUUUGGCGUUGCCCGCCUUCUUAUCACCCAAAUACUUGGGGCAGUUGCGCUUCCAGUGACCCAUCCCCUUGUAAUAAUAGCACUCUGUUUCCGACUUAGGUCCAGCCUUGGGUUUCUUCAUCGGAUUAGCAAUAGUCUUGCCUCUCUUCUUGGAGUUAUCCUUCUUGCCCUUGUCGUUUUUCUUGAAACCAGUGGUAUUAUUGACCACCAACGCUUGAUGCUCUUUCCGGAGUUCUCACUCUACGAAUUUCAGCAUCGCGAAUAACUCGCCGGGUGACUUGUUCAUCCCUUGCAUGUUAUAGUUCAACACAAAGUUCUUGUAGCUAGGUGGCAGUGAUUGAAGAAUUAUGUCAGUGAUAGCCUCUUGCGGGAGUUCAAUCCCCAGCUCGGCUAGACUGUUUGAAUACCCAGACAUUUUGAGCAAAUGUUCACUGACAUACGAAUUCUCCUCCAUCUUGCAAGCAUAGAAUUUAUCGGAGGUCUCAUACCUCUCGAUCCGAGCGUUCUUCUGAAAGAUAAACUUCAACUCCUGGAACAUCUCAUAUGCUCCAUGACGUUCAAAGCGUCGUUGAAGUCCCGGUUCCAAGCCAUACAAGACUGCACAUUGAACUACUGAGUAGUCCUCCUUACGCGAUUGCCAAGCGUUCAAAACAUCUUGGUCAGACGUAGCGGGUGGUUCAUCUCCUAGCGCAGCAUCAAGGACAUAAUUCUUUUUCUCGACUUGUAGGAUGAGCCUAAGAAUACGAGCCCAGUGUACAAAGUUGCUACCAUCAUCUUUCAGCUUAGCUUUCUCUAGGAACGUUUUGAAAUUCAGGGUUGCUACUGCGUGAGCCAUUGAUAUACAACAUAAAAUAUUGCAAAGUGGACUUAGACUAUGUUCAAGAUAAUUAGAGUUUAACUAAUCAAAUUACUAAUAAACUCCCACUCAAAUAGACAUCCCUCUAGUUACUUGCGUGUGGCAUGAUCCAAAUUCACUAACUCAAAUCCGAUCAUCACGUGAGUUGAGCGUAGUUUUAGUGGUAAACAUAUCUAUGCUAACCAUAUCAACUAUAUGAUUCAUGCUUGACCUUUCGGUCUCUCGUGUUCCGAGGCCAUGUCUGCACAUGCUAGGCUCGUCAAGUUUAACCCGAGUGUUCCGCAUGUGCAACUAUUUUGCACCCGUUGUAUAUGAACGUUUGAGUCUAUCACACCCGAUCAUCACGUGGUGUCUCGAAACAAUGAACUGUAACGGUGCACAGUCGGGUAGAACACAAUUUUAUCUUGAAAUUUUAGUGAGGGGUCAGCUUAUAAUACUACCGUCGUUCUAAGCAAGAUAAGGUGCAUAAAAGGAUUAACAUCACAUGCAAUUCAUAAGUGACAUGAUAUGGCCAUGAUCUUGUGCUUCUUGAUCUCCAUCACCAAAGCACCGGCAUGAUCUUCAUCGUCACCGGCACCACACCAUGAUAUCCAUCGUCAUGAUCUCCAUCAUCAUGCCGCCAUCGAGAUUGUCAUGCUAUCUAUGCUAUUACUACUAAACCUACAACCUAGCAAUAUAGUAAACGCAUCUGCAAACACAAACGUUAGUUUAAAGACAACCCUAUGGCUCAUGUCGGUUGCCGUAGCAUCGACGUGUAAGUCGAUAUUAACUAUUACAACAUGAUCAUCUCAUACAUCCAAUAUAUCAAAUCAUGUCUUUGGCCAUAUCACAUCACAAUCAUACCCUGCAAAAACAAGUUAGACGUCCUCUAAUUUGUAGUUGCAUGGUUUACGUGGCUGCUAUAGGUAUCUAGUAUGAUCGCAUCUUACUUACGCAAAGACCACAACGGAGAUGUGCAAAUUGCUAUUUAACCUCUCUCCAAGGACCGCCUCGGUCAAAUCCAAUUCAACUAAAGUUGAAGAAACAGGCACCCGUCAGUCAUCUUUAUGCAACAAGUUGCAUGUUAGUCGAUGAAGCCGGUCUCUCGUAAGCAUAAGAGUAAUGUUAGUCCGGGCCGCUUCAAUCCAACAAUACCACCGAAUCGAGAAAAGACUAAGGAGGGCAGCAAAUCGAACAUCAAUGCCCACAAAAACUUUUGUGUUCUACUCGAGAUAACAUCUACACAUGAACCUAGCUCUCAUACCACUGUUGGGGAACGUUGCAUGGGAAACAAAAAAUUACCUACGCACACGAAGACGUAUCAUGGUGAUGUUCAUCUACGAGAGUGAGAUCAGAUCCACAUACCCUUGUAGAUCGCUCAGCGAGAAGAAUUAAGAAACGCAGUUGAUGUAGUGGUACAGCUUUGUGAUUCAAAUCACCGUCGUCCCACGAUCCGUCCUGAUCUAGUGCUGAACAGACGGCACCUCCGCGUUCAGCACACGUACAGACGGCACCACACGAUGACAUCCCAACAAGAGAGACGGGUAAGUAGAUGAGUUCUCCGGUACCGUGACGGCGCGCCGGUGAUGGUGAUGAUCUAUUCCUGCAGGGCUCCGCCUGAGCUCUGCAGAAAUCCGAUCUAGAGGAAGAACUAUGAGGUAUAGGUUUGAGUUGCACGUGGCAAAUUUCUGUCUCAAAACCCCUAAAACCUCUAGUAUAUAUAGGAGGAGGGGAGGGGCUAUCCUUGGGGCUCAAGAGAGACCCAAGGGCGCCGCCCGAAGGAGGAGAUGGACUCCCACUCCAAUUCGGUUUCGAGGAGGAGGAGUCCACUCCUUCCUUCCCACCUCCCUCUCUUUUUUUUCUUUUCUUUGGUUUUUCUCCUUGCGGCACCAUAGCCCACUUGGGCUGGCCUCAGCAGCCCACUAAGGGCUGGUGCGCCACGCUAGGACUAUUGGGCUCACUCCCGGGUGGGUGGGCCCCUCCCCGUGAAUACCCGGAACCCAUUCAUCACUCCCGGUAGACCGCCGGUAAUGCCCGAAAUCUUUCCGGUGACCUAAUGAAACCAUCCUAUAUAUCAAUCUUUGUUUCCGGGCCAUUCCGGAAACCCUCGUGACGUCCGUGAUCUCAUCCGGGACUCCAAACAACCUUCAGUCACCAACACCUAUAACUCAACUAUACCGAAACGUCACCGAACCUUAAGUGUGCAGACCCUGCGGGUUCGAGAACUAUGUAGACAUGACCUGAGACACUCCCCAACUAAUAUCCAAUAGCGGUACCUUGAUGUCCAUAUUGGAUCCUACAUACUAUACGAAGAUAUUAUCAGUCGAACCUUUGUGCCAAGGAUUCAUAUAAUCCCGUAUAACAUUCCCUUUGUCCUUCGGUAUGUUACUUGCCCGAGAUUUGAUCGUCCGUAUCUCUAUACCUGUUUCAAUCUCAUUACCGGCAGGUCUCUUUACUCGUUCCGUAAUACAAGAUCCCGUGACUUACACUUUAGUCACAUUGCUUGCAAGGCUUGUAUGUUAUGUUGUAUUACCGAGUGGGCCCCGAGAUACCUCUCCGUCACACAGAGUGACAAAUCCCAGUCUUGAUCCAUGCUAACUCAACGGACACCUUCAGAGCUACCUAUAGAGCACCUUUAUAGUCACCCAGUAACAUUGUGACGUUUGAUAUACACAAGGCAUUCCUUCGGUGUGAGUGAGUUACAUGAUCUCAUGGUCAUAGGAAUGAAUACUUGAGACGCUGAAAACAAUAGCAACAAAAUGACACGAUCACAUACUACGUUCAUAGUUUGGAUCUUGUCCAUCACAUCAUUCUCCUAAUGAUGUGAUCCAGUUAUCAAGUGACAACACUUUGCAUAUGGUCAGAAAACCUUAACCAUCCUUGAUCAACUGGCUAGUCAACUAGAGGCUUACUAGGGACAUUGUUUUGUCUAUAUAUCCACGCAUGUAUCUAUGCUUUCAUUCAAUACAAUUAUAGCAUGGAUAAUAAACGAUUAUCUUGAAACAGGAAAUAUAAUAAUAACUAUUUUAUUAUUGCCUCUAGGGCAUAUUUCCAACAAAAGUUCUAUGCCAAAAUACAUGAAGCACCAAAUAACACACAUAAGAUUAAUGGCAUGGUUGAAGUUGGCUGGUCCAAAAUGCUGUAAAUAGCCCAAUGUUUUGUGAUAAAGUCAUCAUAUCCAUGUGCUAGGUUGCUAUUUACCUGAAACCCAUACAAAUUUCUCAAGAAAGUGAGCCUUUAACCCAAAAAUUGUUCAAACUUCAUAGGAAAAUUGGUACAAACAGAUUACGCAUUGCUUUAUUAUCCUGAAUAAAUUACACAUAUGAUUUAGAAAUUCUUUAAAUGGAAGUUGUCCCUGUGUAAUCUACUUCAUAUAAGAUUAUACAGUCAAGAAGUAAAGCGAUAACAUGAAUUAGAUAGGAUAAAAACAUGUUAUUAAAUAGAUGGUUUCUCGCAUGCAGCCAACAUUCCACUAAUUCCAAUCAUAGUAAUUUCAUUACAUCACAUAAAAAGAAUGGAUUGUAGUAAACUUCAUGUAUGGAGUGAGUCAUAUUACCUGCAUCUCGUGGCGCAUUUGUUACCUUCUACGCAUCUUUGAUCUCUUUUUUAGAAAAGGAGGAUGACCCCGGCCUCUGCAUCUGGGAGAUGCAUACGGCCACUUUAUUAAUUAUUCUCGAGGACCUUACAAAGUAUUACAACAUUAUGCGUGAAUCCACCAUCUUGGCAAAAAGUGCCGCUACUCCUAUCCAUAUGACGUAGGGGUGCUAGAUGGGCCCCUACCCAUACCACUCACCUAAGUCUAACAUCAAAAGCCGGAAGCCCCAACCGAGCCACGUACCGGGUCUGGGGCACAAACCGGUCGGACACAUUCAUGUGCUGUCGUCGCCAUCUUCCAUCGUUCCGUCUUUAAAGCAGAUAUUGAGGCUUCUACCUUGUCUAGCCACUCUGCCAUUGACGUCACCAUGACGCCAAACAGCUACCUCCUCCUGCGCGAGUCCAUCUCCACGCAUCGGAUGCCGAGUCCCCAUAGUGCCACGUCGCCGAUAUCUGCCGCCAUCAAUGUGUGAGAUGAAGCACCGCUCCACCAUCCCUCCAGUCAGCACUUGCUGCAAAAUGAUGCCCCCAGGAAGGAAGGCGAUAGAACACCAUCAUCGUUCGAUCCAGGAAGACCCAAAUCUAGAGUUUCCUUCGGAGCAUCCCGAGCCUGAUAACACAAACUGCAACUCGCAGUUGCUCCACCAAACGAGCGGCGUCGACGCCACCGUAGCCUCCAAGAUGAAGCUGGCCAAAAUACACCGACAUCGAACCGCCGCCACCUCCAUCACCGCUUGAGAAGCCCUCGAGCAAUGCCUUCAGGAAGGAGCACGCCACUGCAGUGUCGUCGUCGCUUGGAACAAGGGGAUCUGAGGUUUUCACCUGAGCUCCUGGGAGGGGUGGAAGGAAGGCGAUACUCUCCGAAGCCUCCAGCAAGGGGAGAAACACCCAAAGGCGCUGCCUUCGGAGUGGCCGCCGCACCAGCCAAGGGAUUCCCCCGGAACCCUUCCAUCCACCGGAUCUGCAAGGCCUUCACCCAAGAAUAGCGAGAAGCCAUCAGGGGCCGGAUCCACUGCAGAUCGGAGUAGAUCGUGGUCGAGGACGAGCAUCACCAUGGCCACCAGCAUCCAGCGAGACCCGUCGCCGCAGCCGACGCCCACCACCUUCCCGCCACCCACACGGUCGAGCAUGGGAGGCCGAGACCGUGCCUGCAGAACCAGAUCCGCAAUGGAUCCAUAACCGCGCUGCCGCCCCGAAGCCAACUCCUCGCGCAGCCGUCAUGGCCUGGCCGCCCGCUCGCUCCGCCGUCUGGCCACCGCGCCGCCCGACACGCCCUCGCCGCAUCAGCAUCAAGACUCCACCGCGUCGCCUCAUCUCGCGCUACAGCCGCACACCGAGAGGGGGAGAAGGGCCCGCCGUCGCCGCCGCGCAUCGGGCUUUGCCCGGCGACGGCGAGGGGAGGGGAUAGUAUAGGAGACCGACGCGGGGUGGAGGCUAGGGUUCCCCCGCCGCCGCCCAUGAGAGCGACGCGAGGGACGCGGGGUGGAGGCUAGGGUUCCCCCGCCGCCGCCCGCGAGAGCGCAUCUUUGAUCUACAGCAGUAAUAGUUACUUAGCAUCUCCCAUAGCCAAUAGGGGACCAAUUAGCAGAAAAUAAAACAAAGCAAGUGCUCUAGAUUCUUACCAUGGCAGAUGGACAUGCAAUUGAUAUCCCCUUAGCAUCUGCCAUGGUAAGCACGUCUCCAUAUGGACAAGGCAAGACAGUUUCCCUUUUGAACACUAAAUCGACGACAAUUUCAACAAAUUGAGAACCUAGAGGCUCACCCCCACCACAACCUUUGAAUUAGUUGUUUCAAUUGUUAAUUUCAUUUUAAAGAAGCAUCAUAUUGACAAAAUAUUUUUAGAUGAAUUAUCAUUCAGACUUAAGUCAAAUGAAAGGAUUACCCCUUGUUGCUUGUCAUGUUUGUCUGCAUUAACAACUUUUCUUCCAAUAACAUUUGACUCAGCCACGUCCUCCAGAAUAUAAUUACCUGGUUUAGUAUUAGUAGUUUCUCUUGACCUUAUGCCCCACAUCAAAAUCAAGCAUUGUAGAUGUUAUUACAUGUUCCACUAUUGCAGAGGUACAAUAUAAUAGAUCUAUAAUGCUACCUGUUGUCCUGUUGUACGUAUGCUAUUGGUUUGAUCUCGUUGCCCCUGUGGAGACAAAAGAAGUUCCCUCAUAUCAGCCAUUUGCUUCUUCAUGUCAUCCAUUUCUGCCAUUUUCUUCUUCAUGUCAUCAUUUGUUCUUGCAGAUGUUCGACUUUUUGGUCACAUACACGACACACUUCCUUUGCCAUUUGAAGCUUCAUAGAUUUAUACUCCUUGGUUCCAUGCAACUCUACUUCAUAUGGAGUUGGCCCCAAUCGUAUAGCACGAACAUAUCCAUUUUUUCUUUUCCACAAACAAAUGCAAACAAAUCACCAUCCUUAAUACCAUUCUCCACUAAUUCAGGGUGCUCUCCUGCUACAUAUUGAAGUUCUUUGUGUAAAUUUCAGGAAUGUGUUAUGUGCUCCUAGUAUUUACUACAUAAAUAAGAAUAUGAAAGGCAUCAAAAAAUCAAGUGCAUUUGAACUUACAAUUCUUAAUCCGGGCCCUUUUUGAUGAAUUCCACUAAUUCGAUGUGUAUGUGUUUCAAUAAAUAGUUCAUGUCUAUGAGGACGACGCUUGAGCACCUCGGUCUAUGUUGAGUAAUCAAAGGAUUAAAACAAUGAGCAAAAUGUACAAACAUCUAAGUUCAAAUAAGGACUGCAUAUAGUUGCAUACCAUUUUAGUGUCAACCCGACCAACACUCUUACUUCCACAUGUGUGAUUUUGAGUAUUAUUUGCUUGAUUUUUCCUCUUAUUGAGCGAGCCUGUCACAAUAUCAUGUCAAACAAGUAGAAUCACAUGUCAAUACCAACCUAACAAAGAGCAUACCUUAGCUAUUGGAGUUAACCAAAAUGCAAAAAGCAACUUCCAUUGGUCAAGAUGAACUCUAGCAUCACAUGAUGCUAUAAGUUCAUCAUACUCAUAUGAUUCAUCAUAAUAUUCCCUCUUUAGGUCUGAUUUGUAGUCUUUCCAUUUAAUUUGUGAUGUUUUCAUAUACCGUUGGAAAACUCGUUGGUCUAAUUCCCAAAACAACUGAAAAAUAGGCAUUCAAAUAAAGCAAUUUAAAAACAAUACUAAGGUAGCAUCCAAGACAUAAGAACAGUCCAUAAACACAUUACCUUUGCCUCCUUCCAUACAACAAUUUUUUUAGGCAAAUCAACCUUCCUCCAAUCAUCAAAUUCAACCAUAAAACCCUUGGUUCUUAUUUGUGUUCCAACAAAGUUAGCAAACCGUGUAGCAGAUCUACCACAAGGCUGACCAUACUCAUUGAUUUCCAACUUGAGUUUAGGCUUGUUUUGCCUUCCCCAUAUGCUUUUCUGGCACUAACUUUCCUGACUGCCCUUUCCUGGCCUAAUACACAAUAAACAUAGAAAAUAUGUUUAGUACUAUAAGUGCAUUAUCAUUCAAUUGCAAGAUACACACAUGAAAGUCAAGGAGCAUACCUUCAGGUUCAUUCAAUAUAGCCACAUGUUCAAUUAAUCUUGAUGUAGACCGCAGUUGCCAGUCUGGAGCUUCGGUUCCUGAAACAAAAAUUUUGCUUUUGUGUCUACAAUUAACCACAUAAAUCAGUAUUAAGUAUUGAAAAUGGGAUACCAUAGCAAAUGCAAUUUUCAGCUUUACAUAUUCACGUGUAGCAACAAUACCUUUUUCUUCUUUCCGGGAGCAGGUUGGCAUUGUGACUCAAAUGCAUUUGAUAGACCUUCAUGAUUCAAAGUUCUCGUCAUGUUCUCAUUUUGUUCUCUAAGUACUUCAACUACAUUUCUCUUCUUUUCAAGUUCAUAUUCAGGAACUAUUUUCGCGCUUCUUGUUGGGGUUACCAUUUUUGCUCCUGCUCCUGUAAGUGUUUACAAAUGAGUUAGGUGUCUAUACAACAAUCUAGUAGUUGAACUAAAAUAACAACAAAAUUUUACACAACUACCAAAUAAAAUGCAGAAAAUUGUUAUCACGAUUACUUCCUCUUUGCUGCAACAACAAUUAUUUCAUCUAUAUCAUUCCUUACAUGAGAAAAACUAGUAUAAUCAAUGUUGGGAUCAAGAUCUAUGUGUAGAUCAAUUAACAACCCCUUAUUAGCAUUUUCAAGAUCUACAUUUUCAUCAUCAUCAUCCAUAUUGUAUGCCUACAUGUAAAUUUUUUAGAUACUAGAACAAUUCAUGACAUAAUUAUACCGCUUAUGACGUCACAACAAAAUAAAUUUGAUGUACCUAGGCUUAGACAACAAUGUGUUUGUCCAUGAUGCACCCUUUAUAUCAAAUUUGCCAACUAUCUGAAUUUGGCCAGUGUUGUAGCGCUAGAUUUUCAUUGGUGAAGCGACAAUCAUUAAUUAGGGAAUGGAAAUACAAAAAAUAACUAUUCAAGCAAAAAAUGGGUAUCUAUUGUAACAAGCAAUUGCAUGUGAUUCAAGUACAGAGAAGGUAAUCUCAAGAGGAGUUGAUUCUUACUCACGGCCCUAAGAUGGAGCUACGACAAUGGAGUUUGGAUAUGAAGCCAGUGCAAUCGUAGGUCCGACAGCAGGGUGACAUCACCUCUGACAGCAGCAGCCAGCAGGGCGGCAACAUCUCCAGCAGGAACAACGGGACCGACAAUAGCAGCUUCGGCACCAGGGCAGCAGCAGCAGCUUCAACACCAGGGCGAGAGGAGCAGCAGGCGGCAGCUCCGGUAGAAGAUGGCGGCAGCAUCUCCGACGAUAGCAGCUCCUGCAACAUAUGGCAGCACGACAACAACAACUCGAGAAGCAGUAGCUCUGGCAACAGAUGACAGCAGCAGCUCCGACAACAGCAGCUCCGGUAGUAGCAACUCUGACAGCAUUCGCUCUUGCAGCAGCAGCUCCAGCAAGAGAUGGCAGCAUGGCGGCAGCAGAUGGCAGUAGCAGCUCCAUGAGAACCACACGGGAGGUGGAGCUCUAGGCCGGCAGCGGGGGUGGCCGACGCGUGGGGGAAGCCGGCGCGUGAGGUAGAGCGUGAGGGAGGCCGAUGGCAUGGGAGGUGGAGCAUGAGGCCGGCGACGCGGGAGGUGGAGCAUGAGGCCGGCGACGCAGGAGGUGGAGUGUGUGGCAUGGGUAGGGUUGCGGGUUGGCUGGAUUCGGGGGAUAUUUUGCUCGUGAGCCAAAAAAAUCAUCCUCGCGCCUAAAUCAUGCGCCAAAUUCGCGAUCAUCCGUGUUUUGACACGUGUCGACCUACGCUGACAUUUAGUCCAUGUCCAUACACCCUACCUAUGCCGACACUUUUAAUGUCAUUAAGUGUGUGUAUAUGCUGACUGAUAAACUGUCAAGGGACAUACAUAUGCCGACACAUACAGUGUUGUACAAGAAAUGUCGACACAUGCAUUGUAGCUAUGUGGUUGCCGACACAAAUUGUGUCGACAGUGAUGUAACCUUGCCGAGACAUGAUCCAAAGGCAAAACUUAAAAGCUAUGUUGACAGUUGUUUUGUUGGCAUUAGUGGACCUUUGCCAAUAGAAUGGUGUGACCUAAGCUCUACUGUGGUGUAGUGAGAAGGUGGUGUUGAUAUCAUCUCUUCCUCCACAAUAUCUCUAGGCCUCGGGCUACGAAAAGUUCUUGUCUCUUCCACCAUAUGUAGAGGUCUUGGUUUCUCCUUACACUACAGAAAUCAGUCAUUUUGCCGUCACGGCAUUACAGACAGCAAAGAAAGGAUUACUAACGGCAAAGAUUUUGUCGUCAUCCCCUAACGGCAAACAAUGUCGGCAUACACCAUGCCCGCAAAAGGUAAUUUUGUCGUCAGCCGUUGAUUAGGCAAACGACAAAGAUUUUUCCGUCAAUGGAAUAAGCGAGAUGACAAAAAAAAGUGACUAACAGAUACACAUGGCGGCGUUGAUGUCUUUGUCGUCAUCCUACUAGACCCAUGACGGCAAAGAAUGGGUAAAUAAUUAAAAAAAUGUUCGCUUGCAGAGACGGUGGCACAACACCAGGACGAUGAGGACGGGCAUGGCAAGACCGACACGGGUUUUGGCAGCGGGCCGGCGGUGCAAGGAGAUAGAUCAGGGUAGCAAGACAACGAAUUGGAGUAGAUCAGGGAUUAAGGAGGCCCUGGCGUUCGUCGACGGAGAGCUCCUACAGGUUCCAUGAAGGGAGAGAGAGGUAGAGGCAGCGCGAGCGAGCUCCUGGUGUUCGUCGGUGGUGUAGUCCGACGGCCUUGGUCUGUGAAGGAAGUCUUGAGCAGCACGGGGAGCUUCAGGGGCGGGACAGCCCCUUCGUCACCCACACGGACCAUGGGGCCGCUCGCGUCCUGCAUGAGAUGGGGGCGAACUGUAGGAGUCACGUCCGACGAUGCUCCUUACGACAGCGUGGCGCGAGUAACGACGGCGGCCGGUGGCUCGAGCGAGGGCGACGACCCGAACGGGGGCAACGGCCAUUGGUGCGAGCUCGGUCGGUUGACGGUGGCGCGAACAGGGGCGGCAGACGGUGGGGCGAGUGGCGGCCCAUGGCCCGAGCAAGGGCGGUCGUCGGUGGCCCGAGCAGGGGCGACGGCCGGUGGCGAGAGCGUCGGCUAGUGGCGCGGGUGGGGACGGUAGCGACAGGUGGCGCGAGCUGCGGCAGCCGGUGGCACAAGCGGGAAUGGAGAAAAGAAGCCUAGGGACGUGGGCGGCGGCCGACGACCGGAGUUUUGGCGGCCGGUGAGGUUGAAGUCGGAUGAUGGAUGGAUUGUUUGAUCUGGAUCUAAGAGAGAAAGUAACGAGUGGAGUCGGGUCAUGGGGUGGACGGGAUAACUUAGGGGUGUGGUGUGUGGUUGGGGAGGGCCCCGGCUACGGGUUGUGCAUCUAUGGUGGAUGCUUAUGCCACAUCAUCGGUCCAUGGGAUCGAUCUGUGGGUUGUGUUUUCUUUUUGCCGUCUGCGUUUUUUUACAAACGGCGAAGAGUACAGUUUGCCGUCAUUUUUUUAUAGACGGCAAAGUAUUUUUGCCGUCAUCAAUUUUUAUUAUAGACGGCCAAUUAUGUCUUUGCCGUCAUCUGUUUUUAUUACAGACAACAAAAUAUGUCUUUGUCGUCAUCCGUUUUUAUUACAGACGGCAAAAUAUGUCUUUAUCGUCAUCCUUUUUAUUACAAACGGCAAAAUAUCUUUGUCGCAGUAUUUUUUCUUUACAGACGAUAAAAUAUGACUUUGACAUCAGUCAUUCUUUGUCGUCACAAGUUGAUGGCAAAAGUGGUCUUUGACGUCAUCCACGAUAAAAAGUGGACGACAAAGAUCAUCAAAGACGGCAAAUUUACCCGAUUUCCGUAGUGUUAGUCUCUUUCAGGAAUUGUAUGUGUCUAGCAUCUUGGAACAUAUUGGGGUGUAAUUCAGCAGCAAACACACAUAGUUUUGUUGUUCUUGGAGCUGGAAGCAGGAGGGCUCGUAUGAGGUUGCGUGAGUGUGAAGACAGGCAGCUCCUGACACCCCACGCAACCUCUCUUCACACUCACUCCGGCCCAGCCGAGAGGGAUAUCAUGCUUCGAGUGUAUACGCACGCAGGCACAGGUUACUCCUCGUACUGUUGGUCACCAGUCACAUGAGACGAGGUACAUGCUGGCAUACUGCCCAUCGUGUAAAAAGCAUGGCUCCAUUCAGCAGAGUGCUCCACAGCGCGUCCGUGUAUGUACUGUUCGGUCACACUCACUGCCACACACGUACGCGGUACGCCGUCUUUUUUGUUUUUGCAUCGCGUUACACCGUCUCAUUACCUGCACACAUCAGUACGGAGGGGUACUCUCAAGUGUACAUCUAACACGAAAACGAUGGGUACCCAAGCUGAACUGAACUUUUGAACUGAAAAACAGCUCGUCGCAGCAGUAAUAAUACUGUACCGCUACUGAGAGAGAGAGAGAGAGGGGAACACCUUUGAGCGGUAGACGUAGGUGUAGGCGUAGGCGUAGGUGUAGGUGUAGGUGGGGGCUGGGGCUAGUAGGGUUGGGGACAGCUCCCAUCUCCGAAGUCUGCAGCAUGGCUGCUGUGCUCUUCUGCCUUUUGUUUGCUGCUGCCUCUGACGGCCGGCCAGCUUUACGGAAACCCAUAAACAAAGGGGCUCCGUCUCCGUCUCCGUUGGUUCGUCUGGGUCAGUCACGCACACUGUGCGCACACAUGUGUGCCCGUUCAAUUUCGACGCAAAGCCAAAGCCGAGAACGGGCAGCGAAAGCAAACUGCAAAAAGAAGAGGAUCAUAUGCGCCUGUAUGUAUGCGUGCGCCUGCCACUGCCGGUCAAGUAUCAAGUGACUCAGCGGCUGGCCUGCAGGGAUAGACACGGCGAGGAGACGUAAAGACGACGACGAGGCAGGGGAGGCAAGGGCGGCCAACUUGCGCCGUACGCGCGCAGGCUUUUGGGCACUGUUCGUGCAUGCGCCCCGCUCCAUGUGUUCCCAUCCACCUUGCGUGCGAAUUGUUUCUUCUCCUCUUCCCCUUUGCGACGACAUGUCUUAUUCAUUUCCUUUCCUCCUCUCUCUCGUGAUCUCGUCCCGCUCCCCAUUCGGAGAAAGAUUGCCAUUUGUGUAGGAGCAAAGCUGAAACAAACGAACCAACGUCGUCGUGUACCGUUGUUUUUCACAACUCCGACGUGACAGCCGUGCCUUGCAUCUUGCACAUCCUUUUCCUUUGCUCGUGCCCACAGAAAAGGUAGUACGAAAAAUCUCGUGGGCCGUGGGCUAGUCUUUGUGUGGUGUGGGCCAUUACGAAAAAGAUGAGCCAACUUUUUUAUACGCUUAAGCAACAUCAUUAUGAGGCGCCAAAAGUACGAAGCUCUGCUGCUGCGCCAUACGUGCAGCGGGGUUAACGGCAAUAAUUAGCCAUCAAGCGCGGCUGCGCCCCGGACGGUACUUGUUCGGUCAAAGUAGGGCGCGGCGUGCCCACUGACACCAGCACCUGGGUCCCAGACGCGCGGGCCCGCCUGCCGUGUGGGCCGGCCCAUGGGGGCUCAGAUAAGCCAACCCACUGACUGACUGACUGGGUGAUCAAUGGCUAUCUGACGGACAGCAGCGACUCCCUCCUUGUGACGAUGAUGAUGAUGAUGGUGAUCUGGGCUUGACUCAUCAGCGGAAAAGAAUUGCUUGUUUUUAGGCCAUCUUUUCUUCCUUGCGUGUGUGUGUGUUGGGAACUCAACCGGAAGCUUGUCAAAACCGAGCCCUUUUUCUUUUCUUCUAGUAUUAUUUUAGCAUAUGUUUUGUGUUUAGGUCUCCAGUGCACAUGGAUUUCUUGUCUCUUUUCUGCGGUGCAGGGAAGAAAAGAGGUGAGGUGAGGUGAUGACUGACGCGUCCUCCUCCUGUCCUUUGGCUGUGACAGGGCAGGGCAGGGCAGUCAGGGAUAUGUAUGCUCGGAUUGAGACUUGCAAAGCACUCUUUCAGAAGAGGCUCCAGUGCAGGUCUGUAAUCGUAAGUACAAGGUUUCUCCCGGCCCCGGUCUCCUCUGCUCCUUUGACCAUUUGUCAUGCUUUACGGAUGCUCAGGUCUAAUCUUUGAUUUUACGAUGAACAACUGAGGUUUGUUUUCAUUUUUCGUACUGUUGGGGAGCAUGCAUGCGAUAUGAUACUAGUACUAUCUAAACUGGACGGCUCCAGGGAAAUACCAUGUUAACUGUAGUCUGCAGAAGGUCCAGGGAAUGUACUAUACGUUAAGUCCGUUUUUGAACGUAAACAUACCAGCUAUACGUACGUACAUUGUGAUAAACAAACAGCUUGUCUAAUGGUUGAGUGUACGUGCGCGACUGUUUUGUGCGUACCACAUGAUUCGAUUUCGAGCAUGCCUCGUUGCAUCAUGCAACGCACCGGCCAGAAGCGGGCAACCACUAACCUUUGCUCUCGUGGAAACUGACCACCCCCGUGUCAGAAAAUCACAAACUCGUCAUCAAAUCUACCGCCUCGUCUGCCUGCCUGCCUCCAACCCUACACUUUGCUCCUCCCAAUCUUUGCUCUCUCCCACAUUGCACACCCACCACGAGCAGAAGAAGGAGCCCAGCGCAGCGCCAUUAUCCUCACCGGUGAGUGCCGGCCAGGAGCGCGCACUGAACACUGAUGAGCGGCACAUGCCGUGUUCCCAAGCGAGCAAGCGGUAGGGUGGAGCGUACGUGUGUCCAGACCAGACCUCGCUCGCCGCUGCAUCUGCAUGCACUCCAUGAUGAGUAGUCAAAGACGGGGUCAGCACAGCACAGAGCGUCAGGUACGGCGCAGGUGGCACGUACAGGAAGGAAACCAAACCAGCUCCCCCCACGUAGUGAAUGCGGUGCGCGAGGCCGGCUUCCCGCUUCCCGUCAGUCAGUGAGAUGCAGAGACGCAUGGCAUAUGUGGCGAGUACGAGUACGAUGGCCUGUGUCGAUACGUACGUGCCCUCCGUGCCUGCGACGGCCCUGUGCGGCAGCGUGCACGGGGCUGCCCGCUCCCUGCGGCCAGGCAUCCUUGCAUGCAUGCAUGCAUGCUCGUUCAGUGCGCAGGGAGCGCGUUGUGUGCCGCACGCAUGCACGGCCGGUCGGCCUGCCGUCCCGUUCAUCGGCUCCUGCUGCCGCCUAGUACGUCGCAGCGCUGCACGUUGUCAGUAGUAAAUGGGAGAUGCCCCGGUAGGUGCAGCAACUUGCAAGGACGGCUUUGCUAUUUCAGGUUCGCUGGCGAUACGUACCCCCGUGUGGCCGUGGCCGUUUGCCGCUAGAGGAGGAUCGCUACGAAACGAUCGGCGUGCCCCGUGAAAAGAGACGCAACGUGACGCUCGGAUCGGACCGGAGGUACUGUAUUUGUAUCUGCGUGCUCCGACGUUGCCGGCGCGCACGGCCAGCGGACACCGCAUGCAUGCGCCCGGUUCGUCAGUGAAAUAUGAGCCCGUGCGAUAGGACGAUGGAGGUCGAUCUGGGUCGAGUGGGGGUCGGAGUGGGACGGUGGGGCUAGUGCAGGACACAUCGCGUAGAAGCACUUGAUAGAAGCUUUUGGCUUUGAAGCCGGAAGCCGGAAGCUGGCUAGAAUCCCAACCAAACACGCGCGCAGAGGGAGCACGAGGGGGCGGACCAGCGUGCGGCAGGGUUGAACAGUGCGCGUGCACAGCGGAACCGUUCCGGCGCAAUAAUUGCCUUGCCCUGCUCAGGUCGGCAUGCCGGCCGGCCGGAGAGCGUGGAGGCCGACGGUCAAGGCUCAAGAGACAAGAGAGACCUUCCCCUUGCUCUCGUCGAAAGAACCGGCCCAGCCCAGCCCAGCCCGUCCUGGGAGGGACGCACACAUGCAUGCGUAGGCGUAGGCGUAGCGUAGCACCGGCCGCCGGGAGGGAAGCGAGCGGCAGCGGUGGUGGCAUCAGGAGGCAGCACGCAGCAGCCCCUUUCCAGCCCCGGCUGCCGGGUCAGGGCAGGUACGGUACGUGUGCGGACGACGCUGGGCGCUGGCGAGUAGCACAUGCAGGAUGCAGCAGUGGGGCGGUCGGAAAGGCUGGCGCAUGCAGGCAAAGCAGGGGCGCGUCCAGGCAGCGUGACAGUACGACGAGACGACCGCCGGUUUGAAAGCGGUGGGGGGUGGCAGGCCAGGCACAUUCACUGCUACCGCCCCACGGGCAGACCAAAGCAAAGAAACCCCCUCCCUUCCUUCCUUUCCCUGCACACACACGACACACGCGCGCCUCCUCCGCGGUGACGGAACAACACGAGGCGAGUGGGCCGGCUAGGGAGCGAGGAACGAGUUCAGUGCAGUGUUGUAAGCGCUCUUUUUUUUUCGAAGAGAGUAGUACUGCGUAUCCUCUAUCUAGAGGCUUGGUCUUUGCAUCAAAAGGAGUCCAACGUAGGACGGGUUCAAAUCGGUCUCUCUGUUUAGGAUGCAUGGCAGGAGGCUACCUGACUCGAGACGCUUCUUUCUAGGCCUUUUUCUUUGCUUUGACUGGGACAUUGUAAAACGGCUCUGCCCAAACGUAGUCAAUGGCGCUGUGCCAUCGCAGCAAGGAGAGACAGGCAGCCGGCAAGAAUCAGGCCUACAGGCAGCAAUAAACUCAACCCAGCAACCGGUAACUGAGACCUGACGAGCCAGUAAAUUAACUUGGCUUACAAGAGAUUUGGAAUUUCAUCAUGGCAGGCCUGCAUCGUCUUGCCGUCUUCAUCAGCCUUCAAACCAGACUAUCCACAUUCGCAUCAGACGGCGGAUUCGGACAGGGCCAAUCAGGAUGGCAUCUUGCAACAGUUGAGACUGCUACAGCGUAGUACAGGAAUCUGAACAAAAAACCGAUGUCAAACUAGUACAACAUAAUUUAAAGCUGGUGAAAGAUGGCUAGCCAGAAAAACAAUAAAACUGAUGGGCAAUGUUAGUAUAGGGAAUUUUCUGUCACCUCAUUGGCAACAUAGGAUUUGUGUUGUUUUUGGGGAAGAAUGAAAGUCUACAGCCAAGGCUACAAACCUAAUAAAGCUACGAAUGCCAACAAAGGCUUUUUUUUUCUCCCUUGUAACGGUUAUAUCUGCGAGAGGGUAAAGUAGUGAUACACAACCUUACAGUACAAAGAGCAAAAUUUAAGUUUAGCACCUUGGAAAAUUAUGUCGCUGAUAACACAGUCAAAUCUUCCGCAAAAAAAAAAAGAUAACACAGUCAAAUCGUCAGGGGAGAAACUCAGUCUUUCCGAUAAAAAGAGAGAGCUUCCCGCAAAAUUUUUUUUGAUAAAAACAGAGAACUAUGAACAUUUCUUUGGAUAAUCAUCUCUGUGGAACACUGAAGCAUAAGUUUCUAAAGAUAUAUGGUCUCGAGUUUGGCCCAUCUAGCACAAUUAUUUCUCUCUUCUUUCUAUCACAUAUGUCCAUGAUUUGCGACACGAGGACGGAUUGAUGUGAAUUCAAAUUUAGUGAAAAGUGUAUAUUUCAUGUUAAAUUUAGCGUUUAUCAAUAUCGAUGAAUAUGUAGCUGAAAUGUUUUUAAAAAUCAUUUUGUCGUAUUGUCAGCAAUGAAAUUAAGAUUUUAGUAAGUAAUAGAAAUAGGUCAAAAAAUUUAACACGCUUAAUAAGGUAUAAAUAGUAUGGCUCACGUUGUUCCUAAUUUGGCAUUAUCCUUGUUGUUGUGUGUUCGAAUCCCACAAUUCUUCAAUUAUUUGAUUGAUCGGUAUAACUUCCCCUCAUAGCCACGCCUUUUUCGUUCUAUCAUCGGUUCUCUCCCCCUCAUAGGUACAAAUCUCCCUUUUCAUUAAAUUUUCACGAUUGAAAUUGACUCUUGGGGCAUCUUACUAAUUUUAGAUUGCACAUGUAUAUAAAUUGAUGAAAUAAGGUAUAAGGUAGUGAUCUCGCAUUAUUAAAUAGGUAAGCAAAUUCUAAUUUUUGAGCUAGCUCACUUGGAUAGCGCCUUUGGGAUUGGUUGGCAGAUCGGGGGUUCGAACCCUUACCUGAGCCAAAUAUAUUUUUGCCUCCUUGUUUGGGCAGCCUGGGCCUGGCCACGGUUCAAAGGGCUAGCUUCGUCGUGCCUUAUUUUAUUUUUACUAGUACAAAUGCCCGUGCGUUACAGCGGGCAAAAAAAAAAUACAGAACCUCCUUAUUAUGCCAUUAUGCGGCAUUAAUUGUAAUAAAUAUGUAUAAUAAUGUUAAAUGUUUUCUUUUAAAAUAUUGGGUAGAAUUAUCAUCGACGGACCACACGGAGCCAUUGCAAUAUAGUAUACACCUGUAUUAGAUGGCUCGGCGCUGAAACAAUGCACGCCUUCUGCUGAGCAAAACUGCCACACUGAAGAAUCAGGGCACGGGGUUUCUCCUACUACAACCGAGGAUGAUGCAGCUGCGAUGGCUACAGCAUGUAUCGAAAGUGAAGUGGGCGUCGGCAAGGUGAGUUCUGAAUUUAUUUGUUGUGCAGAUGGGUUUAAUAUCAAUAUUAGCAACAUAGAGUUUGUACGGAGGAUCUUAAAUAUUGUGUUUGAAGCAGGAGGAGGUAAGGUGCAGGAAGAAUCUGCAAGCGUCGAACAUACCUAAUCCAGGGCACGACUCACUUGACCCUGCAGACCUCACUUGACCGGCUUGAGCGAGAGAGCCGUCUGUCGCCCCGCAUGCUCGUUGAGCCCCUCGAUCCAGAUUGAUUUGGAGGAGACCUGAUGCGUUGACCCAUCCUCCUGCAGUGCCCGAGGGCAACGUCGGCUACCUGCCUAGCUGCCGCCGCGCGUGAGGGCAGCGCCGGCUCCACGCCAUGGCCGUCACACCUGGCCCUCUCCUCCACCUCCAGCCUCCUCUCGCGCCCGAGAGGAUCUCUCACGCCUGGCCCUCUCCUCCACCUCCAGCCUCCUCUCGCGCCCGAGUGGAUCUCCCGAGCUAGUCCCGUCCGCCUCCGGCCGCCACCGGCAAGCAGAGCCGCCGUCCGUGCGCUCCGGCCAGCUCAGACCACCGCGUCCUCGGCUUGGCCACAUCAGCCGCCCCUCUUUACUUUCCCGUCGGUCUUUGCUUCCUGCACGAGCCCCUGCCGUCCGUGCGCUCCGGCCAGCUCCCCGUCCCGCCCGAGACCGCCUCGAGUCUUCCAACCGAGGCCUCCGCUGAGACCAGCCUAACAUGGGUCUCCUGCCCGCGCCGGCGCGUGCCCGGAGACGCGGGGUGGUGAGCCAGUCCAAUAAGAUCAUAAUUUCUAAUGAAUGCGAUGGUUUUUACGUAAAAAAACGAAACGUUUUCACUUAAACAGGGACCGCGGGUUCAAUUACCAGAAAGAACAUGGAUCUUUUUGUAAAACUGCAGCAAAAGGCCCGUGCGUUGCAACGGGAGAAAAAAUACCAUACGCUUUUAAUCUUUUUAUAAUAAUUUUGAUUUAUUAAAAUAAUGAUGAAGCGCAGGUUGAAUAAUAAAAAUUAUAGGGGCUUUUUUAUAAAAAUGUCACGGUGGGUUUUCCAACGGAAGCAAUAGCCUCUUUAUUAUUAGGUAAAGAUAUAUGUGAUGGCCAGUAAUAGUAUAGCAGGUCAUGAUUUUUUAUAUAAAAUGUGAUGACAUAUCCCAGAUAUCAACCCUUUUAUUAGUAUGUAGAGAUAUGACACUCAAAUUACAUUCAAGACAAUGAAACCAAAAAGGCUGCAAAUUAAUACCUUCAUAAAAGGCCUAUCCGAGCCAAGAAAGAUCCAAUGAAGUCUCUCUUAAAAUUAAGAAAACUGACGUCAAGUAGUGACUCUAGGACAUGACAAUGGUGUGACUAAACGCUUGCGUGUUCAUGUCCUCUAAGCGUAAGCAUUAACAAAAGCACAACUCACUACACAAUGACACUAGGAGGUACCACCAAACAUGGACAUAAUAAACGAACACUACAUACGAACAUAUCACAACACUAGCUUAAAUAGAUGAUCUAGUUCAACACAUCAGCUCAAAUCAUAGCAAGGAGUUCAACAAAGUAGUAAACAUACUUGCAUAGUAGCAUACUACACAUCAAGCAUACCACCAAUCUAUCCAUCAUCACUACCUAUAAUUCCUUGUUGACAUGAAAACAACUCCUAGCAUGCUUCAAAUCCAUGACCACUAGCCACGAGAACAUCACACUCACGCAGAUCGACGGUGUACAAUGCUUACAGAUCUAACCCUACCACAUGCUCAUAGAUCCAGCUAGAACUAGUAGAGAGAAGGGGUGAUUGAAACCACAAAUUCCAUCGAAACACCCGUGAAGGAGGCGCUGAACAAGUUGGAGAAGAUAAGAAGUUGAUUCGUCGCCACCGCCAACCGGUGGCCGAAGUAGUAGCGUGGCUUACCUCGUCGUCAUUGUUGAUCCACACUAGAACGAAAACUCGAGAGGGGGGUACUGGUGAAGGGUGUUUUGGUAGAUGUGUGCGCAUUCAUAACGCCAAUUUCUCCGGUCGUUUUUUUUGUAGAUGUGUGCGAGCUCCUGCUAUCUCUGUGAACACAAGAGGUGAGCGCCGUGUUCCCAUCCGCUGCAUCGCUCAAGCCUACCUCGUUGGAAACGACCAAUUCAAUCGUUCCUAACACACCUCGCUCGAGAGUACUUUAUGAUUCAUGCGGAUCAAAAUUUGUAUGCAUGUGAGGCAACCAAACAACCCACUUUCUCCCUCGCGGGCCUGGCUGAGCUUAAUGCGAGCAACCAAAACAUGUCCUUAAGGCGAGCAUAGAAAAACGAUAACAAACCUGGGUAUUUGUGCAUUCGUAGCAAGGCGUGUGCGCAUUCAUAAAUUAAACAAAUGUUCAUGUUUUUCUUAAACUGUACAGACUGUCAAAAAAUGUUUGACUUUUCAAAAUGUUCCCACAAAUUCAAAAAAACGUUUGUGAUUUUUAGAUUUUGAAAAAUUCCCAUUAUCAAACUUGUUUUGAACUUAAAAAAUGUUUGCAUUUUCCCGAAAUAUUCAAGAAUUUUCUAAAAUAAAAUGAUUUUUAAAAAACAUACAUAUAUACCGAAAAAUGUUUGCAUUUGCAAACUGUGUUGAGAAUUUCCAAAAAAAUCCUUUCUAAAAGUAAUUCCAGAACCAAAAAAAUAUUUGCACUUCCAAAUUUUGUUUGGAGUUUCAAACAAUGUUCAUGUGUUCCAAAAAAGUUUCAAGUUUUACAAAAAAUACUCACGAAAAAUUCCAUUUUUAUAUAUAUAUUAUAGGAGGCAAAGAGGUUUGUGCUACCGAUACAUAUUAGACUUUUCAAACGAAUCAAAAUUUAAUAAUGUUCAUGUUGCAAAAUUAUUCAUUUAUAAAAAGAAGUGUUUUGAAGGUUAAAAAAUAUGCCUCAAAUGUGCCUCCUCGACUCGCUUCGUUGACAAGUUUUGUGAAGUUGAUCUAUUGAGAAGGUGACACCGGCCAUAAAGAAGCUGAACAAUUGACUUAUUGCAAAAAAAUACGACUUCAUAAAAAGUUUAGAAAAUAGAAAAAAUUAUGUAUUUCAAAAAAAUUCACAAUUCGAAAUAGGACGAGUUCAAUUUUUUUCAUGAAUUUGAAAAACCUCACAGAUUUGGAUAAGAUUUGCAAUUCUGAAUUUGAAAGAAAGUUCAUAGAUUUUGGAAAACUGCACAAAUUUGUAAUUGCCCCUAACAGGUCGCAGAUUUGGAAAAAGUUCACAAUUAUUUAUUUGAAAUUGGUAAUGGAUUUGGGCGCAAAUAUGAAAAGUUUCAAGAAUGAGAGAAAAAGAUCACGGAUUUGAGAAAAACGGAAUAGAUAAAUAUAUUUUAAAGAAUACUUCACUAAUUUAAAAAUAUUCAAAAGAACAAAACAAUAGGAAAAAUAAGAAAAAUAAUAUAACCAAAAAAAUUCAAAGAAAAAAAGAGCAAGAAAGGUACAAAAUGACCAGCAAACACACGCAAAAUGGUAAAACGUAUAAACAAUGAAACAAAAGCGUGUAGUAUCUUCCUAAUACUGGAAAUGGCAGAAGGUUAGGAACGCGCCUGAGUGCGGCCUAUCAAUAAUGAAGUAAACGGCGUAAGAGUGCAGAAUAGGAAAUUUUCUAUGGGUCAUCCUAAUUAUUUUUCACUUUAUUUUUUCCUUUUCUUUUUACUUUCUUUUUUUAUGUUUUCUAUAAUUUAAAUUAUUAAGAAAUAUUCAACGAAAAUUUGCUGUUUAAAAUAUUAGUCUAUGUGAUACAAAAAUUCCUGAGGGAGUGCGGCACAAAACUAUAUGUCGCUGGCCCAUUCAUGAGUCUCUCACAUCUCCCAUCGUUUCUCAUUAUUUUUUCAUAAGUUUUUUAUUUUUUGUUUAUAAAAUGUACAUCACGUAUUUAAAAAAAAUCAGCAUUGUUUGGAAAAACAUUCGUCGUAUUAAAUAAAGUUAAACAUGUAUUUUAAAUCUUGAACAUCUAUUAAAAUAUAUUUAAAAAUAUUCAUGGCUAUUCAUUAUUUAAAUAAUAUUUAAAAAGAAUUCGCAUGUACUCGAAAAAAUGUUCAACAUUAUUUGAGAGGAGGCAUGGCGUAUUUUAAAACAAGUUCAACGUAUAUUUUCAAAAAGUUCACAUAAAAAAUAUUGUAUAGAAGAUAUUCAAACAUUUAUAUUUUUUAAAGUAAAAAAAAUAAAAAAGAACAAAGUAAUAAAAUCGAUAAAAGAAAUUAACCAUGUUAGUUGGAACAUGCGUUCAUGUCAUGUCGUUGAUAGCCAAGCGCUUUGUACUACUUGCUGUGGGCGAUAUAUUGUCUUCGACGUGCACAUUUAGGCAUUGAGUAUUCCGGACGGCAUCACACGUGUAUUGCCCCAUGGAGGGACGAUUCCAAGGGGGGCGAGGAGACCCCCCUCCCCCCGUAUGAUCACGUUGCCCUUUGAUAGCGAUCAGGUAUUAGCAGAUUUUUUAUGUGGCCGCACACGAUUUCUGGUUGUCUCCCUCCUCCCUCCCAUAGUGAAAGCACAUGUAUAUAUCAGGUAGUGAUCAUCACAUCAAAGCCCAUGUAUAUUCACGUAGUGAUUGCAGCAGGCAGCAGGUCAAAGGCCCAAAUAUUAGGAAAAGCAUAAAAAGAAAAACAGCCCACCCUGAAAGAGAAGGACCCAGGCUCGCGCACGCCGCAUGUACACGGCGUCCCAUCUCCUUAGACCCUGUUUGGAACCAUAAUAGAUUAUGAUAAUCUGGAUUAUGAAGAUAGAUUAUAUAAUCUGGUUAUAAAUAUAAUCUAGGUGGUCAUGUUUGGAGGCAAGAUUAUAUAAGCUGUAAUUCAGGUUUUACAUUGCAUAAUGACCUGUCUGCCCUCUAGUUUUUUUUAAAGAGGAGGGUGGCGGUGGUAAAAAUGUAAUUAUCUCCAACUUUACAAGGGUAAUGGGUCAUUAGCAAUCCAUAAUCUGAUUUUAGCUGGUAUAGAGUAGAAUAUGAGUUUUUAAUAAUCUAUCCAUCUAGUUUUUAUAAUCUAUACCAUAAGCUGUCAUGUUUGAAGACAGAAUAAAUUAUAAAAACUGAAUUAUAUAAUCUGGGUGGUUCCAAACAGGGCCUUAGUCACUCGUUUUCCAUCUGCUUGUUCCUGCGAUUAGAAAACCUACUCGACACCAGAGGCAUUGUCGUCACUGCCACCACCGCCUAGUAGAUCAUAUACCACCGAGAAGGAAAGGCAACAGGCAAGCUCCGUCCCGAGAUCCAGAGGCACAUUCCGGCCGGCCGACCGUACGAACGAAUGACCAAACGAGAAAAAAGGGUUAGUUUGUUUUUCAGUGUGAGAUGAGUUUGCGUCUAUGUAAUCAUAGAACUGCCUACAAAUUUUUAGUUUGAGAUGAGUUUCUAUAUGCCUCCAUGGUACGAACCCUCUCAUCAACUUCAAAUCUUUUAUUUUUUUGUCUAAUAUGAAUGAUCGUUGAUUGAUGGACAUGAAAAUACAAUUCGAAUCAAUUUUUUAGCACAGUGUAUCAUUUAUAUAUAUAUAUAUAUAUUCGUCAUCCAGGGUGCACAAUAAAUUAUUCCUCACCUAGGUAAUCUUACAACCGUUUUAUAAAUAAAGUACACUUGGAAUGACAAUAGUUACAUUAAUAUUGAAUCAUUACGAUGUAAAAAAAUAAAAUAUAUAGGUCAUAAGCCAUGAAGUCCGAGAUAGGAUCCAUGUAUGAGAACAAAGUGUGGACUUUGGAGAUACUACCUGAGGGCCGCAAGGCUAUUCAGAACAAAUGGAUCUUUAAGAAGAAGACGGACGCUGACGGCAAUGUGACCGUUUAUAAAGCUCGACUUGUGGCAAAGGGUUUUUCACAAGUUCCAGGAGUUGACUACGAUGAGACUUUCUCACCCGUAGCGAUGCUUAAGUCCGUCAGAAUCAUGUUAGCAAUAGCUGCAUUUUUCGAUUAUGAAAUCUGACAGAUGGAUGUCAAAANNNNNNNNNNNNNNNNNNNNNNNNNNNNNNNNNNNNNNNNNNNNNNNNNNNNNNNNNNNNNNNNNNNNNNNNNNNNNNNNNNNNNNNNNNNNNNNNNNNNNNNNNNNNNNNNNNNNNNNNNNNNNNNNNNNNNNNNNNNNNNNNNNNNNNNNNNNNNNNNNNNNNNNNNNNUGCAACCCGAAGGUUUUAUCGAUCCUAAGAAUGCUAACAAGGUGCGCAAGCUCCAGCGAUCCAUUUAUGGACUGGUGCAAGCAUCUCGGAGUUGGAACAAACGCUUUGAUGAGGUGAUCAAAGCAUUUGGGUUUAUACAAGUGGUUGGAGAAUCUUGUAUUUACAAGAAAGUGAGUGGGAGCUCUGUCGCGUUUCUAAUAUUAUAUGUNNNNNNNNNNNNNNNNNNNNNNNNNNNNNNNCUUUGAUGAGGUGAUCAAAGCAUUUGGGUUUAUACAAGUGGUUGGAGAAUCUUGUAUUUACAAGAAAGUGAGUGGGAGCUCUGUCGCGUUUCUAAUAUUAUAUGUGGAUGACAUAUUACUGAUUGGAAACAACGUAGAGCUUUUGGAGAGCAUAAAAGGUUACUUGAAUAAAAGUUUCUCUAUGAAGGACCUAGGAGAAGCUGCUUACAUUCUAGGCAUUAAGAUCUAUAGGGAUAGAUCAAAACGCCUGAUAGGACUUUCACAAAGUACAUACCUUGAUAAAGUUUUGAAAAGGUUCAAAAUGGAACAGUCCAAGAAAGGGUUCUUGCCAGUUUUACAAGGUACAAGAUUGAGUAAGACUCAGUGCCCAGCAACUGAUGAAGAUAGAGAGCAUAUGCGCUCCGUCCCCUAUGCUUCAGCCAUAGGUUCUAUCAUGUAUGCGAUGAUGUGCACUAGACCGGAUGUUAGCCUGGCCAUAAGUAUGGCAGGUAGGUUCGAGAGUAAUCCAGGAGUGNNNNNNNNNNNNNNNNNNNNNNNNNNNNNNNNNNNNNNNNNNNNNNNNNNNNNNNNNNNNNNNNNNNNNNNNNNNNNNNNNNNNNNNNNNNNNNNNNNNNCCUCCCAAGCUCCAUUGUUGCUCCCUAAGCUCAAAAGUGCCCGAUCUCUCUCCCUAGCCAAUCAAACUUGUUGAUUUCCUAGGGAUUGGUUGAGAAGACCUAGAUCUACACUUCCACCAAGAGAAAAUUGAUUCCCCCCACUAAUGCCUUGCGGAUCUUGUUACUCUUCGGUGUUUGAGCACCCUAGACGGUUGAGGUCACCUCGGAGCCAAAUUCCAUUGUGGUGAAGCUCCGUGGUCUUGUUGGGAGCCUCCAAGCUUUGUGUGGAGUUUGCCCCAACCUUGUUUGUAAAGGUUCGGUCGCCGCCUUCAAGGGCACCUAUAGUGGAAUCACGGUACCUUGCAUUGUGUGAGGGCGUGAGGAGAAUACGGUGGCCCUAGUGGCUUAUUGGGGAGCAUUGUGCCUCCACACCACUCUAAUGGAGACGUACUUCCUGUCAAAGGGAAGGAACUUCGGUAACACCUCCUCGUCUUCAUUGGUUCCACUUGCGGUUAUCUCUAACCUUUACAUUGUGUAUGCUUUUGUUGUCUACUAUCUCUUACUUGCCUUAGUACUUUUAGUUGGUAGCAUCAUAUAGGUUCACCUCCUUGUUGUCAUUUUAGAGAACAUUUAUGUUGCUAACCCUAACUUGCUAAGAUAAAUUAAAAAGUGGUCGUUGCCUAUUCCCCCCCCCCCCCCNNNNNNNNNNNNNNNNNNNNNNNNNNNNNNNNNNNNNNNNNNNNNNNNNNNNNNNNNNNNNNNNNNNNNNNNNNNNNNNNNNNNNNNNNNNNNNNNNNNNGCUGUUAUCUGAAAACAGAACAAAUUCCUCGGACAUCCGGCUUCCUCCGGACGUCCGAGGGCCGGACGACCGACUGCUUCGGAAAUCCAGAAUCCUAUACCAGAGAAAUCAAAGCCAUAUAACUCGGACUUCCACCUCCCUCCGGACGUCCGAGGGCCGGACGUCCGACCUCCUUCGGAAAUCCGGAAUCUCACACCAGAGAAGUUUGAGUCGAACAACUCGGACUUUCGGCUUCCUCCGGACGUCCGAUCCCUGUUCAACUACACAGUGAUUCUAGAUAUAUAUACAUCUCUCGGACGAACGACCCCUGUCGGACGUCCGACACCUUGUGGGCAUCCGGACAUUUGAGAAACUGUCGGAUGUCCGACCACUGCCAGACUCAAGUGCCCCCAACGGCUGUUUUACUCUUCCCACUAUAUAUACCCUCCUCCCACUUCGUGAGAGGGNGUGUCCAUCUUGGUAGACCGUGUUGUUGAUACACGUUGCAGUGCCUAGUGCAUUUAGGAUUUGUGCUUGACAAGUAUCCUCUUAGUUUAUUUCCGCAUUAGGUUUAAGCCAAAUCCGAAGAAGUUUUUAAAUAGCCUAUUCCCNNNNNNNNNNNNNNNNNNNNNNNNNNNNNNNNNNNNNNNNNNNNNNNNNNNNNNNNNNNNNNNNNNNNNNNNNNNNNNNNNNNNNNNNNNNNNNNNNNNNCCCACUUCGUGAGAGGGUGCCCAACACAGCCAUAUCCUCAUAAGAACACAUUUCUACCUCACACACAUUUGCUUACACCAAAUCUUAGAUCCCAAGAGCAUUUGUGAUCCCCUUUGAGAGUUCUUCCAAUCAAAAGAUAGAUCGUCUCCCUCUCCUUCUCUCAACCCAAGCUAUUUGAGAUUUGAGCAAGUUUUGAGCAUUCCCCGUGAUCUUGUUACUCUUGGAGGUUGGAGACUCCUAGGCGGUAGGAGUUCUUUGGAGAGGAAUCAAUCCGUGUGAUUACCCCCCGGAUAAGUUUGUGAGGGUUUGGAAGCCACCUCAAAGGCUUACCACUAGUGGUUGGGAAACGCCUUCGUGGUGUUAUCUCAAAGGGAGAAUAGGGUGAGCCUUUGUGGCGUUGGUGUGCCUUUGUGGUAACAUCCACCUCUCUAACGGUGACUAGCUUCCCUCCAAGGAAGUGAACAUCAGGAUACAUCUUCGUCUCAGUGACCUUGGUUAUCCUUAACCCUAACUCCUUACUUGUGGUUUACUUGUGUUACUUGAGCAUACAUACAUUGCAUAUUGUUUGUGCUCAUUAUAUUGUGUUGGCUAUUUCUUGUACCAGAUUAAUCAUUCAAGCAUACCCUCUAUAUCCACACGUUCACACUUGCAGCUUUUGAUAUAUCGUGGGCUAUAGUGUGAUCUAGUAUCUUGUGUCGUUCACCUACUUGUCGUGUGAUAUAGCUCAAGUAAGUUUGUGUAACUUACUUGUGCUUGUUAGUAACUGUAUUGUGUCCAUCUUGGUAGANNNNNNNNNNNNNNNNNNNNNNNNNNNNNNNNNNNNNNNNNNNNNNNNNNNNNNNNNNNNNNNNNNNNNNNNNNNNNNNNNNNNNNNNNNNNNNNNNNNNCACUCCUGGAUUACUCUGGAACCUACCUGCCAUACUUAUGGCCAGGCUAACAUCCGGUCUAGUGCACAGCAUCGCAUACAUGAUAGAACCUAUGGCUGAAGCAUAGGGGACGGAGCGCAUAUGCUCUCUAUCUUCAUCAGUUGCUGGGCACUGAGUCUUACUCAAUCUCGUACCUUGUAACACUGGCAAGAACCCUUUCUUGGACUGUUCCAUUUUGAACCUCUUCAAAACUUUAUCAAGGUAUGUGCUUUGUGAAAGUCCUAUCAGGCGUUUUGAUCUAUCCCUAUAGAUCUUAAUGCCUAGAAUGUAAGCACCUUCUCCUAGGUCCUUCAUAGAGAAACUUUUAUUCAAGUAACCUUUUAUGCUCUCCAAAAGCUCUACGUUGUUCCCAAUCAGUAAUAUGUCAUCCACAUAUAAUAUUAGAAAUGCCACAGAGCUCCCACUCACUUUCUUGUAAAUACAAGAUUCUCCAACCACUUGUAUAAACCCAAAUGCUUUGAUCACCUCAUCAAAGNNNNNNNNNNNNNNNNNNNNNNNNNNNNNNNNNNNNNNNNNNNNNNNNNGCCACAGAGCUCCCACUCACUUUCUUGUAAAUACAAGAUUCUCCAACCACUUGUAUAAACCCAAAUGCUUUGAUCACCUCAUCAAAGUGUUUGUUCCAACUCCGAGAUGCUUGCAACAGUCCAUAAAUGGAUCGCUGGAGCUUGCACACCUUGUUAACAUUUUUAGGAUCGACAAAACCUUCGGGUUGCAUCAUAUACAACUCUUCCUUAAGGAAACCGUUAAGGAACGCCGUUUUGACAUCCAUCUGCCAGAUUUCAUAAUCGAAAAAUGCAGCUAUUGCUAACAUGAUUCUGACGGACUUAAGCAUCGCUAUGGGUGAGAAGGUCUCAUCGUAGUCAACUCCUGGAACUUGUGAAAAACCCUUUGCCACAAGUCGAGCUUUAUAAACGGUCACAUUACCGUCAGCGUCCGUCUUNNNNNNNNNNNNNNNNNNNNNNNNNNNNNNNNNNNNNNNNNNNNNNNNNNNNNNNNNNNNNNNNNNNNNNNNNNNNNNNNNNNNNNNNNNNNNNNNNNNNNNNNNNNNNNNNNNNNNNNNNNNNNNNNNNNNNNNNNNNNNNNNNNNNNNNNNNNNNNNNNNNNNNNNNNNNNNNNNNNNNNNNNNNNNNNNNNNNNNNNNNNNNNNNNNNNNNNNNNNNNNNNNNNNNNNNNNNNNNNNNNNNNNNNNNNNNNNNNNNNNNNNNNNNNNNNNNNNNNNNNNNNNNNNNNNNNNNNNNNNNNNNNNNNNNNNNNNNNNNNNNNNNNNNNNNNNNNNNNNNNNNNNNNNNNNNNNNNUACCACUCUGGAGCAGCGCGUGAUCUCGUCGACCUGCGUGGUUCAACAGAAACUUGAACUGGAGUUUCAUGAUCAUCAUCAUUAACUUCCUCCUCUACCGGCGUCGCAACGACAGAGGUUUCCCCCUGCCCUGCGCCACCAUCCAGAGGGAUGAGAGGUUCGACAAUUUCGUCAAGUUCUAUCUUCCUCCCACUCAAUUCUCUCGAGAGAAACUCCUUCUCGAGAAAAGUUCCGUUCUUAGCAACAAACACUUUGCCCUCGGUUUUGAGAUAGAAGGUGUACCCAACUGCCUCUUUUGGGUAACCUAUGAAGACGCACUUUUCCGCUUUGGGUUCCAGCUUUUCAGGCUGAAGCUUUUUGACAUAUGCAUCACAUCCCCAAACUUUAAGAAACGACAACUUUGGCCUUUUGCCAUACCACAGUUCGUAUGGUGUCGUCUCAACGGAUUUUGAUGGUGCCCUAUUUAAAGUGAAUGCAACUGUUUCUAAUGCAUAACCCCAAAAUGAUAACGGCAAAUCAGUAAGAGACAUCAUAGAUCGCACCAUCUCUAACAAAGUACGAUUACGACGUUCGGACACACCAUUACGCUGUGGUGUUCCAGGCGGUGUUAACUGCGAAACAAUUCCACAUUGUCUUAAGUGAGCACCAAACUCGAAACUCNNNNNNNNNNNNNNNNNNNNNNNNNNNNNNNNNNNNNNNNNNNNNNNNNNNNNNNNNNNNNNNNNNNNNNNNNNNNNNNNNNNNNNNNNNNNNNNNNNNNNNNNNNNNNNNNNNNNNNNNNNNNNNNNNNNNNNNNNNNNNNNNNNNNNNNNNNNNNNNNNNNNNNNNNNNNNNNNNNNNNNNNNNNNNNNUUCCACUUCACUCUGAAUUGCUUGAACUUUUCAAAUGUUUCAGACUUGUGCUUCAUCAAGUAGACAUAACCAUAUCUACUUAAAUUGUUAGUGAAGGUGAGAAAAUAACGAUAUCCGCCCCGUGCCUCCACGCUCAUUGGACCACACACAUCGGUAUGUAUGAUUUCCAACAAGUCACUUGCACGCUCCAUUGUUCCAGAGAACGGAGUCUUAGUCAUCUUGCCCAUGAGGCAUGGUUCGCACGUGUCAAGUGAAUCAAAGUCAAGUGACUCCAAAAGUCCAUCAGCAUGGAGUUUCUUCAUGCGCUUUAUACCAAUAUGACCCAAGCGGCAGUGCCACAAAAAUAUGGCGCUAUCAUUGUUUACUCUAACUCUUUUGGUCUCAAUGUUAUGUAUAUGCGUAUCGCUAUCAAGAUUCAAUAUGAACAAUCCUCUCACAUUCGGUGCAUGACCAUAAAAGAUGUUACUCAUAGAAAUAGAACAACCAUUAUUCUCUGACUUAAAAGAGUAACCGUCUCGCAAUAAACAAGAUCCAGAUAUAAUGUUCAUGCUCAACGCAGGCACUAAAUAACAAUGAUUUAAGUUCAUCACUAAUUCCGAUGGUAGCUGAAGUGACACUGUGCCGACGGCGAUUGCAUCAACCUUGGAACCGUUUCCUACACGCAUCGUCACUUCGUCUGUCGCCAGCCUUCGUCUAUUCCGCAGUUCCUGCUUCGAGUUGCAAAUGUGAGCAACAGAACCGGUAUCAAAUACCUAGGCACUACUACGAGAGCCGGUUAAGUAUACAUCAAUAACAUGUAUAUCAAAUAUACCUGAUUUUUCUUUGCCCGCCUUCUUAUCUGCCAGAUACUUGGGGCAAUUGCGCUUCCAGUGACCCAUACCCUUGCAAUAGAAGCACUCUGUUUCAGGCUUAGGUCCAGCUUUGGGUUUCUUCGGCGGAUUGGCAACAGGCUUGCCGCUCUUCUUCGAAUUGCCCUUCUUGCCUUUGCCGUUUCUCUUGAAACUAGUGGUCUUGCUCACCAUCAACACUUGAUGCUCUUUACGGAGUUCAGACUCUGCGACUUUCAGCAUCGCAAACAACUCGCCGGGAGACUUGUUCAUCCCUUGCAUGUUGUAGUUCAACACAAAGCCUUUAUAGCUUGGCGGCAGUGAUUGAAGGAUUCUGUCAGUGAUAGCUUCUUGCGGGAGUUCAAUCCCCAGUUCAGCUAGACGGUUCGAGUACCCAUACAUUUUGAGCACAUGUUCACUGACAGACGAGUUCUCCUCCAUCUUGCAAGCAUAGAAUUUAUCGGAGGUCUCAUACCUCUCGGUCCGGGCGUUCUUCUGAAAGAUAAACUCCAACUCCUGGAACAUCUCAAAUGCUCCAUGACGCUCAAAGCGACGUUGAAGUCCCGGUUCCAAGCCAUACAAGACUGCACAUUGAACUAUUGAGUAGUCUUCCUUACGUGCUAACCAAGCGUUCUUAACAUCCUGAUCAGCCGUAGCGGGUGGUUCAUCUCCUAGCGCAGCAUNNNNNNNNNNNNNNNNNNNNNNNNNNNNNNNNNNNNNNNNNNNNNNNNNNNNNNNNNNNNNNNNNNNNNNNNNNNNNNNNNNNNNNNNNNNNNNNNNNNNUUAAUGCUGCGCUAGGAAAUUAACCACACGCUACGGCUGAUCAGGAUGUUAAGAACGCUUGGUUAGCACGUAAGGAGGACUACUCAAUAGUUCAAUGUGCAGUCUUGUAUGGCUUAGAACCGGGACUUCAACGUUGCUUUGAGCGUCAUGGAGCAUUUGAGAUGUUCCAGGAGUUGGAGUUUAUCUUUCAGAAGAACUCCCGGAUCGAGAGGUAUGAGACCUCCGAUAAAUUCUAUGCUUGCAAGAUGGAGGAAAGCUCAUCUGUCAGUGAACAUGUGCUCAAAAUGUCUGGGUACUCAAACCGUCUAGCUGAGCUGGGGAUUGAACUCCCGCAAGAAGCUAUCACUAACAGAAUCCUUCAAUCACCGCCGCCAAGCUAUAAAGGCUUUGUGUUGAACUACAACAUGCAAGGGAUGAACAAGUCUCCCGGCGAGUUGUUUGCGAUGUUGAAAGUCGCAGAGUCUGAACUCCGUAAAGAGCAUCAAGUGUUGAUGGUGAAUAAGAUCACUAGUUUCAAGAGAAACGGCAAAGGCAAGAAGGGAAAUUCGAAGAAGAGAGGCAAGCCUGUUGCCAAUCCGCCGAAGAAACCCAAGGCUGGACCUAAGCCUGAAACGGAGUGCUACUAUUGCAAGGGUAUGGGUCACUGGAAGCGCAAUUGCCCCAAGUAUCUGGCAGAUAAGAAGGCGGGCAAAGAAAAAUCAGGUAUAUUUGAUAUACAUGUUAUUGAUGUGUACUUAACCGGCUCUCGUAGUAGUGCCUGGGUAUUCGAUACCGGUUCUGUUUCUCAUAUUUGCAACUCGAAACAGGAACUGCGGAAUAGACGAAGGCUGGCGAAAGAUGAAGUGACGAUGCGCGUAGGAAAUGGUUCCAAGGUUGAUGCAAUCGCCGUCGGCACAGUGUCACUUCAGCUACCGUCAAGAUUAGUGAUGAACUUAAAUCAUUGUUAUUUAGUGCCUGCGUUGAGCAUGAACAUUAUAUCUGGAUCUUGUUUAUUGCGAGACGGUUACUCUUUUAAGUCAGAGAAUAAUGGUUGUUCUAUUUCUAUGAGUAACAUCUUUUAUGGUCAUGCACCGAAUGUGAGAGGAUUGUUCAUAUUGAAUCUUGAUAGCGAUACGCAUAUACAUAACAUUGAGACCAAAAGAGUUAGAGUAAACAAUGAUAGCGCCAUAUUUUUGUGGCACUGCCGCUUGGGUCAUAUUGGUAUAAAGCGCAUGAAGAAACUCCAUGCUGAUGGACUUUUGGAGUCACUUGACUUUGAUUCACUUGACACGUGCGAACCAUGCCUCAUGGGCAAGAUGACUAAGAUUCCGUUCUCCGGAACAAUGGAGCGUGCAAGUGACUUAUUGGAAAUCAUACAUACCGAUGUGUGUGGUCCGAUGAGCGUAGAGGCACGCGGCGGAUAUCGUUAUUUUCUCACCUUCACUGACGAUUUGAGUAGGUAUGGCUAUGUCUACUUGAUGAAGCACAAGUCUGAAACAUUUGAAAAGUUCAAGCAAUUUCAGAGUGAAGUGGAANNNNNNNNNNNNNNNNNNNNNNNNNNNNNNNNNNNNNNNNNNNNNNNNNNNNNNNNNNNNNNNNNNNNNNNNNNNNNNNNNNNNNNNNNNNNNNNNNNNNNNNNNNNNNNNNNNNNNNNNNNNNNNNNNNNNNNNNNNNNNNNNNNNNNNNNNNNNNNNNNNNNNNNNNNNNNNNNNNNNNNNNNNNNNNNNNNGAGUUUCGAGUUUGGUGAUCACUUAAGAAAAUGUGGAAUUGUUUCACAGUUGACACCGCUUGGAACACCACAGCGUAAUGGUGUGUCCGAACGUCGUAAUCGUACUUUGUUAGAGAUGGUGCGAUCUAUGAUAUCUCUUACUGAUUUGCCGUUAUCAUUUUGGGGUUAUGCAUUAGAAACAGCUGCAUUCACUUUAAAUAGGGCACCAUCAAAAUCCGUUGAGACGACACCAUACGAACUGUGGUAUGGCAAAAGGCCAAAGUUGUCAUUUCUUAAAGUUUGGGGAUGUGAUGCUUAUGUGAAAAGCUUCAACCUGAAAAGCUGGAACCCAAAGCGGAAAAGUGCGUCUUCAUAGGUGACCCAAAAGAAACAGUUGGGUACACCUUCUAUCUCAAAUCCGAGGGCAAAGUGUUUGUUGCUAAGAACGGAGCUUUUCUCGAGAAGGAGUUUCUCUCGAGAGAAUUGAGUGGGAGGAAGAUAGAACUUGACGAGGUUGUCGAACCUCUCAUCCCUCUGGAUGGUGGCGCAGGGCAAGGGGAAACCUCUGUCGUUGCGACGCCGGUUGAGGAGGAAGUUAAUGAUGAUGAUCAUGAAACUCCAGUUCAAGUUUCUGUUGAACCACGCAGGUCGACGAGAUCACGUGCUGCUCCAGAGUGGUACGGUAAUCCCGUCUUAUCAAUCAUGUUGUUAGACAACAAUGAACCUGCAAAUUAUGAAGAAGCAAUGGUGGGCCCAGAUUCCAACAAAUGGCUAGAAGCCAUGAAGUCCGAGAUAGGAUCCAUGUAUGAGAACAAAGUGUGGACUUUGGAGAUACUACCUGAGGGCCGCAAGGCUAUUCAGAACAAAUGGAUCUUUAAGAAGAAGACGGACGCUGACGGCAAUGUGACCGUUUAUAAAGCUCGACUUGUGGCAAAGAGUUUUUCACAAGUUCCAGGAGUUGACUACGAUGAGACUUUCUGACCCGUAGCGAUGCUUAAGUCNNNNNNNNNNNNNNNNNNNNNNNNNNNNNNNNNNNNNNNNNNNNNNNNNNNNNNNNNNNNNNNNNNNNNNNNNNNNNNNNNNNNNNNNNNNNNNNNNNNNUCCUAGCGCAGCAUUAAGGACAUAAUCCUUCUUCCCAGCUUGUAAGAUUAGCUUAAGAUUACGAGCCCAGUCUACAAAGUUGCUUCCAUCAUCUUUCAACUUAGCUUUCUCUAGGAACGUAUUAAAAUUCAGGAUGACUGUCGCGUGAGCCAUGAUCUACAACACAAAUAUAUUCAAAGUGGACUUAGACUAUGUUCAAGAUAAUUAGAGUUCAACUUAAUCAAAUUAUAUGCUAAACUCCCACUCAAAAAGUACAUCUCUCUAGUCAUUUGAGUGGUUCAUGAUCCACUUACACUAUCCCAAGUCCGAUCAUCACGUGAGUCGAGAGUAGUUUCAGUGGUAAGCAUCCCUAUGCUAAUCAUAUCAACUAUAUGAUUCAUGAUCGACCUUUCGGUCUCAUGUGUUCCGAGGCCAUGUCUGCACAUGCUAGGCUCGUCAAGCUUAACCCGAGUGUUCCGCGUGCGCAACUGUUUUGCACCCGUUGUAUGUGAACGUUGAGUCUAUCACACCCGAUCAUCACGUGCUGUUUCGAAACGACGAACUGUAGCAACGGUGCACAGUCAGGGAGAACACAAUUUCGUCUUGAAAUUUUAGUGAGAGAUCACCUCAUAAUGCUACCGUCGUUCUAAGCAAAAUAAGGUGCAUAAAAGGAUUAACAUCACAUGCAAUUCAUAAGUGACAUGAUAUGGCCAUCAUCACGUGCUUCUUGAUCUCCAUCACCAAAGCACCGGCACGAUCUUCUUGUCACCGGCGCCACACCAUGAUCAUCCAUCAACGUGCUGCCAUCGGGGUUGUCGUGCUACUCAUGCUAUUACUACCAAAGCUACAUCCUAGCAAAAUAGUAAACGCAUCUGCAAGCACAAACGUUAGUAUAAAGACAACCCUAUGGCUCCUGUCGGUUGCCGUACCAUCGACGUGCAAGUCGAUUUUUCUAUUACAACAUGAUCAUCUCAUACAUCCAAUAUAUCACAUCACAUCGUUGGCCAUAUCACAUCACAAGCAUACCCUGCAAAAACAAGUUAGACGUCCUCUAAUUUUGUUGUUGCAUGUUUUACGUGGUGACCAAGGGCAUCUAGUAGGAUCGCAUCUUACUUACGCAAACAGCACAACGGAGAUAUAUGAGUUGCUAAUUAACCUCAUCCAAGGACCUCCUCGGUCAAAUCCGAUUCAACUAAAGUUGGAGAAACCGUCAAUUGCCAGUCAUCUUUGAGCAAAGGGGGGUACUCGUAACGAUGAAACCAGUCUCUCGUAAGCGUACGAGUAAUGUCGGUCCAAGCCGCUUCAAUCCAACAAUACCCUGGAAUCAAGAAAAGACUAAGGAGGGCAGCAAAACGCACAUCACCGCCCACAAAAACUUUUGUGUUCUACUCGAGAAGACAUCUACGCAUGAACCUAGCUCAUGAUGCCAUUGUUGGGGAACGUCGCAUGGGAAACAAAAAAUUUCCUACGCGCACGAAGACCUGUCAUGAUGAUGUCCAUCUACGAGNNNNNNNNNNNNNNNNNNNNNNNNNNNNNNNNNNNNNNNNNNNNNNNNNNNNNNNNNNNNNNNNNNNNNNNNNNNNNNNNNNNNNNNNNNNNNNNNNNNNNNNNNNNNNNNNNNNNNNNNNNNNNNNNNNNNNNNNNNNNNNNNNNNNNNNNNNNNNNNNNNNNNNNNNNNNNNNNNNNNNNNNNNNNNNNNNNNNNNNNNNNNNNNNNNNNNNNNNNNNNNNNNNNNNNNNNNNNNNNNNNNNNNNNNNNNNNNNNNNNNNNNNNNNNNNNNNNNNNNNNNNNNNNNNNNNNNNNNNNNNNNNNNNNNNNNNNNNNNNNNNNNNNNNNNNNNNNNNNNNNNNNNNNNNNNNNNNNNNNNNNNNNNNNNNNNNNNNNNNNNNNNNNNNNNNNNNNNNNNNNNNNNNNNNNNNNNNNNNNNNNNNNNNNNNNNNNNNNNNNNNNNNNNNNNNNNNNNNNNNNNNNNNNNNNNNNNNNNNNNNNNNNNNNNNNNNNNNNNNNNNNNNNNNNNNNNNNNNNNNNNNNNNNNUAUAUAUAGGUGGGAGGUAGGGGACCUUGCCUUGGGGCUCAAGGAGCCCCAAGGGGGUCGGCCGAGUCCAAGGGGGGAAGGCGCCACCCCCCCAAACCGAGUUGGACUUGGUUUGGUGGGUGGGAGUCCUUCCCUUCCUUCCCACCUCCCUUUUUUUGCUUUCUCUUUGUUUUUCCUUUAUAUGGCGCAUAGGGCCCUUUUGGGCUGUCCCACCAGCCCACUAAGGGCUGGUGCGCCACCCUUAUGGCCUAUGGGCUUCCCCGGGGUGGGUUGCCACCCCCCCCCCNNNNNNNNNNNNNNNNNNNNNNNNNNNNNNNNNNNNNNNNNNNNNNNNNNNNNNNNNNNNNNNNNNNNNNNNNNNNNNNNNNNNNNNNNNNNNNNNNNNNCGUAUUUGAGUUAUAUGAUUGGUUACCGAAUGUUGUUCGGAGUCCCGGAUGAGAUCACGGACGUCACGAGGGUUUCCGGAAUGGUCCGGAAACGAAGAUUGAUAUAUAGGAUGACCUCAUUUGAUUACCGGAAGGUUUUCGGAGUUACCGGGAAUGUACCGGGAAUGACGAAUGGGUUCCGGGAGUUCACCGGGGGGGCAACCCACCCCGGGGAAGCCCAUAGGCCUUGGGGGAGACACACCAGACCUUAGUGGGCUGGUGGGACAGCCCACAAGUGCCCUAUGCGCCAAGGAGAAGAAAAUCAAGAGAGAAAGAAAAAAAAAGGAGGAGGUGGGAAGGAAGGGGGACUCCCUCCCACCAAACCUAGUCCAACUCGGUUUGGGGGGGAGAGUCCUCCCCCUUGGACUCGGCCGACCCCCUUGGGGCUCCUUGAGCCCCAAGGCAAGGCCCCCUCCCUCCCACCUAUAUAUACGGAGGUUUUAGGGCUGAUUUGAGACGAUUUUUCCACGGCAGCCCGACCACAUACCUCCACGGUUUUUCCUCUAGAUCGCGUUUCUGCGGAGCUCGGGCGGAGCCCUGCUGAGACAAGGUCAUCACCAACCUCCGGAGCACCGUCACGCUNNNNNNNNNNNNNNNNNNNNNNNNNNNNNNNNNNNNNNNNNNNNNNNNNNNNNNNNNNNNNNNNNNNNNNNNNNNNNNNNNNNNNNNNNNNNNNNNNNNNGGGCAUAAUUCCAACACAUUCCCCAACAGUGGUAUCAGAGCUAGGUCUAUGCAUAUAUGGCAUCACGAGUAGAACACAAAGGAGUUUGUGGGCGUUGAUAUUCAGAUUGCUUCCCUCCUUAGUAUUUUCUUAAUUCAACGGUAUUAUGGGAUGAAGCAACCCGGACUAACUUUACUCGUCCACGUAUGAGAGAUCGGUUCCGUCGAGUGACAUCUAACUUUGUUGCAUAAGAUGGCUCGCGGGUGUGUGUCUCUCCCACCUUAGUUGAAUCGAAUUUGACAAAGGCGGUCCUUGUAGAAUGUUAAAUAGCAACUUGCGUAUCACCCUUGUGGCUUUGUGUAGGUAAGAAGUGUUCUCGCUAGAUACCCAUAGCAGCCACGUAAAACAUGCCACAACAAAUUAGAGGACGUCUAACUUGUUUUUGCAGGGUAUGUUGUGACAUGAUAUGGUCAAAGAGGUGAUGAUAUAUAUGACGUAUGAGAUGAUCAUGUUGUAGUAGUUAAUAUCGACUUGUAUGUCGAUGCUACGGCAACCGACAAGAGCCAUAGGGUUGUCUUUAAUUAUUGUAUGACCUACGUGUCAAUCAUUAAGUGAUAUGUAAUGCUUUAAUUUAUCGUUAAACAGUAGUAAUAGUAGUAGAAGCAUGGUUGGCGCGACAACCCUGACGCAACAAGAUGAUGGAGAGGGGUCCCCUAGGAAGGUUCUAUAGGUGCCCAAUAGCCCUUGGAUCAAAGAGGCAUCCAUCGGAGGGCCAAGGAUGAUCGUCCCAGCUCAUAUAAGGAGAAGAAAACCCUGAUUUUUGGGCAGCCACGAAAAGCCACGAAUUUUGCCUCCCCCAUGGCCUCAUAUCCAUGGGGAGGGCUCAUCUACAGCACUAAGAAGCCAUGGAGGAAGUGGGCUAAGGGGCGGCACUACCCCAUGAUGGCCGGACGGCGUAGGAGCAGCCCCCUGCGCCGCCGCCAGCCGCCGGCGCCGCCGUGCACCUCACGUGUUGCCCCUUCUCCAUCCUCUCCGCUAUGAUGCCACCUUCACCAACACCUCCAUCAUCAUCUCCUCCAUAGCUACAGCGGCCCACUCCCCCUCAAACUUCUGUAAUCCCUAUGUAAACAUGGUGUUUGAUGUAAUAAAUUAUUUGCAAAUGAUUUAUUGCAUCUAUGUCAUGUUUGUAUAGUUCCUUUUUGUCAUAUGAUUGAUUGUUGAAUCUCCAUGGAUGGUUUGAGCUAUAUAUUGAAUUUCUUACAGUCCUAUGGUGCCCAUGAUAUGUUUAUGCGCGCAUGGAUCACAUCAUAGGGUUUGGGGUAUAUGGAGAAAGCUAGAGGGCGGGCUGCUUGAGUGACAGAAACAUGAGCCCCAAUCUAGUGAUCAAAGCAUAUGGGAUAAAGAGGACCUUUUGAUCUUAAUGCUAUGGUUGGGUAUUUUUACCUUAAUAUAUCUUCUAGUAUUUACGGAUGUUUGCUAGAGUUCCAAUCAUAAGUACUUGCAAUCAUUGGAUAGUGAGAGCUUGUUAGCUUUACCUGUUGGGGAACGUUGCAUGGGAAACAAAAAAUUUCCUACGCACACGAAGACCUAUCAUGGUGAUGUUCAUCUAGGAGAGGGAGAUCGGAUACACGCACCCUUGUAGAUCACUAAGCGGAAGCAUUAUUAAACGCAGUUGAUGUAGUGGUACGUCUUCACGAUCCAUCCCACGAACCAUCCCGCGAUCCGUCCCACGAACUGUCUUGUGAUCCGUCCCGAUCAAGUGCCGAACGGACGGCACCUCCGCGUUCCGUACACGUACAUCUCGAUGACGAUCUCCACCUUCUUGAUCCAGCAAGAGGGGAGGGAAGUAGAUGAGUUCUCCGGCAGCGUGACGGCGCGCCAGUGAUGGUGAUAAUCUAUUGCUGCAGGGCUCCGCCCGAGCUCCGUAGAAAACCGAUCUAGAGGAAGAACUAUGAUCUAGAGGAAAGGGCAACACGUGGCAAAGUUGUGUCUCAAAAGCCCUAAACCUCUAGUAUAUAUAGGAGGAGGGAGGAGGUAGCCUUGGCGCCACAAGGGAAACUCCCUUGGGUUGGCCGAAGUGGAGGAGGGAGGAGUCCUCCUCCAAUUCCACUUGGAUUAAGACUCCUUCCUUAUAUUCCCACCUCUUUUGGAUUUUCCAUUUUUCCUCAUGGGCUUUCCUUGGAUGACUUUGUCAGCCCAUUAUACCUUAUUGCGUAUCCAAUAAACCCACUUGGACCCCUUGGGGCGUGGUGGGCCCACCCAGUGGCCCCCCGGAACCCAUUCGUCACUCCCGGUACACUUUCGACAAUGCCCGAAAACCUUCCGGAAUCCAAAUUCCAACCUUCUAUAUAUCAAUCUUCGUUUCCGGACCAUUCCGGAACUCCUCGUGACAUCCAGGAUCUCAUCCGGUACUCGAACAAAAACUUCGGUCACCAACACAUAUAACUCAACUAUACCGAAACGUCACCGAACCUUAAGUGUGCAGACCCUGCGGGUUCGAGAACUAUGCAGACAUGACCUGAGACACUCUCUGGUCAAUAACCAACAGCGGGACCUGGAUGUCCAUAUUGGUUCCUACAUAUUCUUCGAAGAUCUCUAUCGGUUGAACCUCUAUGUCAAGGAUUCAUAUAAUCCCGUAUACCAUUCCCUUUGUCCUUCGGUAUGUUACUUGCCCGAGAUUCGAUCGUCGGUAUAUCUAUACCUAGUUCAUUCUCGUUACCGGCAAGUCUCUUUACUCGUUCCGUAAUACAAGAUCCCGUAACUAACUCUUUAUUCACAUUGCUUGCAAGGCUUGUUGUGUAUUACCGAGUGGCCCCCGAGAUACCUCUUCGUCGCACGGAGUGACAAAUCCCAGUCUUGAUCCAUGCCAACCCAACAGACACCUUUGGAGAUACCUAGAGCACCUUUAUAGUCACCCAUUUACGUUGCGACGUUUGAUAACCCAUAAGGUAUUCCUCCGGUGUCCGGGAGUUGCAUGAUCUCAUGGUCAUAGGAACAGAUACAUUGACAUGCAGAAAACGGUAACAAUAAACUCACAUGAUCAUAUGCUACGUUUAUAGUUUGGGUCUUGUCCAUCACAUCAUUCUCCUAAUGAUGUGAUCCCGUUAUCAAGUGACAACACUUGUCUAUGCUUAGAAAACCUUAACCAUAUUUGAUCAACGAGCUAGUCAACUAGAGGCUUACUAGAGAGAGUGUUUUGUCUAUGUAUCCACACAUGUAUUUGUGUUUCCAGUCAAUACAAUUAUAACAUGGAUAAUAAACGAUUACCAUGAACAAAGAAAUAUAAUAAUAACUAAUUUAUUAUUGCCUCUAGGGUCAUAUUUCCAACAUUACCUCUCCCACAUAAAAGAGGAAUAUCAACCUUGUAUUUGACUAUUGGAUCAUGGACAAUUCCACCACAAUUACCACCACUUUUCCGCACUCAUGGUACUGUUAGUUUAUGGUUACUUAGUAUAUUUUAUCGCUGCAACACUAACAUUUAUUUUAUUGUAUUUAUUAUCUUGCAAAGCUUUCUCUCAUACCCGUAUUGUCGCUCUAGUUUUAUCUCCUAGAUAUUGCAAAAUGUUUAGUGUGCGUAGAGUUGUGUCAAUGGUUGAUAUAACUUGAGAGAAUAUUUAUCCCACCUUUAGCUCCUCGUUGGGUUUGACACUCUUACUUAUCGAAAAGGCUACACACGAUCCCUAUACUUGUGGGAUAUCAAGGAGUCGGUGUGGUCGCGGCCGCCUCCAUCUGGCCCGCGGGAGUUGCCGGCGGAGUACCCAAGGGGUCCUCUAGCUGUGUCGGCUAUUAAUACUUCUGCACUAGGCCCGCUGCUAUCGCACUCGGAUUUGUCAGAGGAAUCGUCGAACGAGGAGGGGAACAAGAUGAGGGUGGGCUCGUCGGAGUCGAGCAUGGCCACUUGUCCCGUCGUGGCUUGAAGAGCCACGUCAUGCUUGAUCCAGCGCACAAGUCGUGAGCAUGUGGAGCGCUUGUGACGGGCCGCGACAGGAUGUGGGGAAGUCGAGCAAUACUGGACCGACGACUAUCGGAGAAGGAUUUCGUACGUUGCUGCGCUGAAAUGGUCCACACCGCGGGCGGGCAAUGCAUCCGUAUCCAGCGGAGCUUCCUGCAGCCACGUUGAAUCAUCGGCAAUGAACUUGAGGGAACCAAACAAAAUCUGUGUGACGAGUGUCACCAUGAUGACCAAAAAAAAUGAAUCCCCACCUCCGCCGGAAUUUGCUAAACGAGGAGCGCCAACUGUCCAGGGAACGAUCCUGACAAUAGUACUAGGGUUACAAAUGAGGAGGCGCAACCUAGGUACAGUGAUGGUGUAACACUCAGAUUCUACGAGUUCGGGCCCUCUCGCAGGAGGUAAAGACCCUAUGUCUCCUGCCCGGAGGCUAGUGUUUUCUGUGGGGGUGUGAAUACAACAGGGUGCUGAACCCUUGCCACGGAGCUCAAGGCAGACUUGUAUAGAAUGUGCCUCGGUCCAUUGAGCGUCGUUACAAAGGUGAGUUAAUGUCAUUAUGGAGGCAGUUUGUACUAAUGACAACCCUUAACUACAAGAGUUACUAGUAACGACAACUAUCACUACACUUGUUGUGUUGUUUAAGUCCCUCAGCCGUUGCGGCUCCAAAUCAUCCACGCUUGCCCUGAUCCGAGUGUUGGUGUGUGUGUUCUACUGACUUGAAGACUGGCCGAGUGACUUCAUGGGUCCGAGUGAAACCUUAGUUGCAUCGUUAAUUCUCGGACUUGAAUGACCAUGUGGGCCCCUAGGUGGGCCCUGGAUGGCUGGUCCAUGACCCUACCCUAAUAAGUAGCCUCAUCAGUAGCCUGUACAACCCAACCACCAAGAUACAUCGCAGUAGGUGCGAACAUGCAAUGUAUCCGAUACUUGAAGAUUUUUUUUGCAAUAGAACGUGCCCCCCUACCGCCAAGAACCUCGGCGGUAGGCUGUAAUACCGACCCGACGAUAGAAAAAGGGUCAAAUCCUGUUUUUUUAUAAAUUAGGGUCGUUUUACUUUUAGAAAAGGGACAAAACACGAAAGUUGCAUCGAAUGAGAGUACACACAAAACAAGUGUCCCCCACUCCCGCAUCGCUCCUGGCGGCGGCUCAGGCGGAACCCUAGCCGCAACCGCCCCUACUUCCUCCUUCCUCGCUGUCACCGGAGGAAGCUGGCGGGCUAAGCCUGACCGACAGACGGCGACGGCGAGGCGUUUCCUUUUCCUGUGGUGUGCUCUCGUGGGAGGGAAGUUCGGCCCCUCCGUGGCCUCUCGCGGCGUGGCGUCGCCGGCGUCGACGGGCCUCCUUGGCGUCGCUCGACGGUGUUGGAAUUAUGCCCUAGAGGAAAUAAUAAAUAUAGUUAUUAUUAUAAUUCCUGUAUCAAUAUAAUCGUUUAUUAUUCAUGCUAUAUUUGUAUUGAAUGAAGACUCAUUUACAUGUGCGGAUACAUAGACAAAACACCGUCCCUAGCAUGCCUCUAGUUGGCUAGCUAGUUGAUCGAUGAUAGUCAGUGUCUUCUGAUUAUGAACAAGGUGUUGUUGCUUGAUAAUUGGAUCACGUCAUUACGAGAAUCACGUGAUGGACUAGACCCAAACUAAUAGACGUAGCAUGUUGAUCGUGUCAUUUUGUUGCUGCUGUUUUCUGCGUGUCAAGUAUUUGUUCCUAUGACCAUGAGANNNNNNNNNNNNNNNNNNNNNNNNNNNNNNNNNNNNNNNNNNNNNNNNNNNNNNNNNNNNNNNNNNNNNNNNNNNNNNNNNNNNNNNNNNNNNNNNNNNNNNNNNNNNNNNNNNNNNNNNNNNNNNNNNNNNNNNNNNNNNNNNNNNNNNNNNNNNNNNNNNNNNNNNNNNNNNNNNNNNNNNNNNNNNNNNNNNNNNNNNNNNNNNNNNNNNNNNNNNNNNNNNNNNNNNNNNNNNNNNNNNNNNNNNNNNNNNNNNNNNNNNNNNNNNNNNNNNNNNNNNNNNNNNNNNNNNNNNNNNNNNNNNNNNNNNNNNNNNNNNNNNNNNNNNNNNNNNNNNNNNNNNNNNNNNNNNACUUAGUGUAAGUUGCGGGAUCUUGUAUUACAGAACGAGUAAAGAGACUUGCCGGUAAACGAGAUUGAAAUAGGUAUGCGGAUACUGACGAUCGAAUCUCGGGCAAGUAACAUACCGAAGGACAAAGGGGAUGACAUACGGGAUUAUAUGAAUCCUUGACACUGAGGUUCAAACGAUAAGAUCUUCGUAGAAUGUGUAGGAUCCAAUAUGGGCAUCCAGGUCCCGCUAUUGGAUAUUGACCGAGGAGUCUCUCGGGUCAUGUCUACAUAGUUCUCGAACCCGCAGGGUCUGCACACUUAAGGUUCGACGUUGUUUUAUGCGUAUUUGAGUUAUAUGGUUGGUUACCGAAUGUUGUUCGGAGUCCCGGAUGAGAUCACGGACGUCACGAGGGUUUCCGGAAUGGUCCGGAAACGAAGAUUGAUAUAUAGGAUGACCUCAUUUGAUUACCGGAAGGUUUUCGGAGUUACCGGGAAUGUACCGGGAAUGACGAAUGGGUUCCGGGAGUUCACCGGGGGGGGGGGGGCAACCCACCCCGGGGAAGCCCAUAGGCCUUGAGGGUGGCACACCAGCCCUUAGUGGGCUGGUGGGACAGCCCAAAAGGCUCUAUGCGCCAAGGAGAAGAAAAUCAAGAGAGAAAGAAAAAAAAAGAGGAGGAGGUGGGAAGGAAGGGGGACUUUCUCCCACCAAACCUAGUCCAACUCGGUUUGGGGGGGGGGGGGGGNUUUUGUUUCCCAUGCGAUGUUCCCCAACAGACGGCUCUCCCACGACAGAUCUCGGCGGGGUGGCAUCCCCCUUUUCCUCCUGCGCGAGCUCGUGCAUGUGCUCGUCGUCGGAUGUGGCAGUUUCCUAGAUCUGGCCAUCUCCGACUGGUUCUGGCCCGUCGGGGGUCUGCCCUGGCUAGGGGCCGUGGUGGUCUGCGUCGGCCACGCUUUGGAGGGCUGCGGUUGCCGGGGCGGCGUCCCCGGAUUUGGUGGCGACAGCUUUGGCCAAGGGUGUGUGUGUUUGGUCACGGUGGACUGUGGGAUCCCGUGGUCAAAACGAGGUAAGCCUCGGCAACUCGUGGUUGGUUGGUGGCGACGGGUAUUCGGCGGAGCUCCGAGAGAAAUCUUUGCGAAGCUGGCGACGGCGGCGCCUGCGGGUGUCGUUAUCCUUCUUGGAAGCGUCGUCGUGGAGGUGUGUUGCUCCUCCCGACGACCCGAGCUCCGGAGGGAAACCUCAGGUUCCGUAGAUCGGGCGAUGGAGGCGUCAUUGCGUCUUUUUCCUCCUUGGGGGCAUCGCCUCGGAGCCAGCUACGACAGGGAGACUAGUGUAUUGUGGCAUCUUCGCCAUGGAUGACGGCUUAUUCAUCACAUGGUUUGCUGAGGUGGGCGCUGGUUGCUGUUUGGCAACGAUGAUGGCGUUGAGAGGAGCUCGGGUCGCGCCGUGGACUUUGGUAGUCGGUUUUUUCCGGCUUGUCCAAAGUGGUCUUUCUGUGGGUUGCUUGGUUGUUUGAAGUCGGAGGUGCGGAGGAGCGAGUCCAGGCGGUGACGAUGACAGACGCUUGAUGAUCGUUUGCAAAGGGCACAGUCGGUGCAAGUCCUGCAUAUUUCCCUUGUGAUUCUCGUCGUCAAGGUUGGAGCUGUCGGCUGCUGGCGUGUGUGGUCAUCCGAUGGCAUGUGCCGUUGUGGUUUUUUUUUGCAGCUGUUUGCGGGAUGGCUUCGAUGUUGGAGCUCGAUGGUGAAGUCGGAGUCGUUCGUUCGAGGCGACCGGUGAUGACAAUGACGCUUGCGACUCCGCGGCGGAUGUCUUUCUUCUUUGGAGCUUCAGGUCCCAUGUCGGUGAUCAGGUUGACCGGUGGUGCGUGUGUCAUAUGAGUUGUGUAUUGUAUCGGUUUUAGCCGGUUUUCCGUCAAUUAACCGGACAAUUCUCUUUUUCUUAAUCAAUAAAAAUGGCAAAUCUUUUACCUUGUUUUUUUUAAAACACUAAAAGUCAUCCCCGGGUCGCUCGUCACGGUCACCAAAGGAUGCGCAAUGAACAGAGUUGGCUUCAGGCACACGGCGUUUCUGCAUGCAUGCGUGUUCCCCAUGCCGGGCCGGCUCCCCGCCAUGCGGCCAUGGUCUGAUGCAAGUCCGGUACGUGCCCGGGCAGUCUGCCAGCGCGUGUGGCCAUCCCCACUCGUCGAUUUAAUAUAUUUCUUCUUCUUUGUUUGAGCAUAACACGAAGUACUAGUAGGAGUAUGCAUUUUUUUCUUCAUUCAAUCAUCUUUGCGUGGUGAGGGGACACUGACUGCGACUAGAGCGUGGUACCAUGACAGGCGAUAAAGCUGACAAAGCGAAAGAGUGGCGCCGUCCGUGCGGGCCGGGCGGUUUUCUCGCCACGCCGGGGAUGGCCCAAAUAAAUGAAACAUCCUUCCUGCUGAUGACGAAGAGCGUCCCACUCGCCAGUCGGCACUCGCCGUCGCCGUCGUCGACGCCGCUCGGCCUCGACGAUCCGGUGCGGCCGCCGCCGCUCGUGCACGCGCAUGGUUGCACCGUUCAUCGUAAAUCGAAGACUCCAACCAGUGUACUGGCCGCACGUCCCUUGGCUUCCGCGCAAACAGCCUGCAGUGCAGGCUGCAGAUGUGAGAUUCACGCGCGGAUCCAAUUCAAGGCGCGCGCAGCAACCCCGGCCCGGAGCAGUCAAAGCAGGAGUGGCUGGCUAGUGCGUGGUAGUUUUGUUUGUGUUCCCAUACCAGAACCGGUCAAAAAAAACGACCGCGUCUCUACACGGUCUUCACGGACCGGAAUCAAGUCCAAGCAAGCGCACGCGUACCACACCACACCACACCACACACCACCCCGUGAUCCUUGUCACGCCCCAAAACUCGCAAAAAGCAUUUUGCACGGCAGAAGAAGGCGCAGUUAGCAUGCGAAGAAGAAGGAAAAAGAAAGGAUGAGGGAAAGUUUGGGGACACGAAUCGUCGAAGAUAGCGAGGAAUUCCUCCGAUCAGUACCGUCCCAUCCUCAAGCGUGCGUGCGUGCGUGCGUGCUUAUCCACGACGUAGCUGUCCAUCAACGGUCCAGACGAACACACACACACACACACACACAGGGCCGUGUGAUGGAUGCCUUGUUGGAAUGGGACAGGUAACGACUCGCACGUCACGGAAAAUCUGGGCUGACAAGUAAGCCGCCAAGCUUCGCUGGACGCCUCCAAACCAGCAGCAUCAUUUGCAUACACAGAAAAAAACAUGUAGAGAGAAAUAAUCACACUAUUAUAUUCAGAAUAUAUAUAUGGUGGUGCAGUGGCGCUCCAUAUAGCAAAGAAAUUAGAAAUCUCGCGUUGUCGUUCCCGCCAGCCGACCUGCUGCCGACUACACACAACUAUCAGAGCUGGCAAAAAAAGAGGUAGAAAAAGAAAGAGCCUUGUGCAGCGCUGGCUCCGCCCAGAGCUGUCCACGCGCCAGCAGAGCAGAGGGACGUGGCCGCGAGCGGCGCACGGCCGGCCCGGGUCAGUCAACCCGGCGCCGCAGCCCGGGCCCACGCGCAGCGAGAGGUGGCCGCGCCCCAGCAGCAGUCCUGAUGAGCCGAGCGGCGAGACAAGAGAGGAGAGGAGAGUCGGAGCCGCCCACGACAAACCCGCUCUCGAAAAUCUCCUGCCCGAACCCACACCAAAAACCAAAUCACGCCACCUUAAACUCCUCCCCGUAAAACCAAUCGCCUCCCCACCGUCGCGUGCGUUAAUCCGCCGGAUCCCAACCCCGCGUGCGUGCGUGCGUUCGUUCAUUAGCCCAGACACGGGAAAAGGAAGGCAGGCGAGGUCAAGAGAGAGAAGACCGUCAGACCAUUCGGCCGGCGGCUCGGCGGCGGCAGCGGCGGCGGCGCGCGGAGCAGUAGCACCAGCGGAGGGGGAUCAGCGAGCCGGAGCGCCUCAAACCCCUCCCCGACCAGCCCAGGUGAGCCGGCUCGACGGAUUCCUCGCCCCCUAGUUCUCUCUCUGUGUUUUUUUCCCCUUCUCUCCCGCGGAUCUUCCCCGGCGUUUCUUCGACGGGCGGCGGCCCCGCCGUCGGUUUCCGGGGCGUGCGGCCUCCCGCGCCGCGGUUGCUUCCUCCCGCACGCGCGGCGGGCAGGGGGUGGUUUGGGGCAGCGGUCAAACGGCGAUUCUGGUGGGCGGACCACGGGUCAAACUCCGGGAUCGAGUGGUUGGCCUGCGCAAUUUCGGUCCAGGCCAAACACUUGCACGCUCGAUUUAGUUUUCUUAUUACUCUUACUUCGUAGGUAGAGCAAAUCGACAGCAGAGCCUUAUUAAGAAAACUAGCAAGGAAUCAAUAAUAGAAGGGUCCGAUUCGUGGGCGUGUUUCGAUCCGACGUUGCCUUUUCGUAGAUUCCGCCAUAUGCUCUCUUCUUAGUGAUGGAUGGAUACUAGCGGAAAAGGUGCGUCGCCAACUCGGUGGGGGCGCUUUUGGUUAUAUGGCCUUGAUACUACCGGAAAAAGUACGCACGGUUAGUUAUUAGGUGGCUUUCUGGCUGGAUGUUGGAGUGAGAUGCAAGCUGAUUUUGUUGCCCCGUACCAGGUGGCUGUCACCAGUUUAGCUGCUUUCUGUGGUUGAUGGCUGAUAAGGUCCACUCCAGUUGGAUUUAGGUGAUUCAAAGCUGAUUGAUGGCAUGGUUUACUUGUUGGGUGCAUGCUACAGCUGGGUAAAUUGGAAUUGAAUGUGUACAAGUUUUAUGUUAUUCAGCUCGUAUUUGAGUGUAAAACAUGUACAGAAUAAAUAUGCAUCGCCAAAUACUGAGUUGUACAAAAGCAGCUUAAUCAGACGGGAUUAUAAUCUAAUAAGUGCCCCUGUGAUGUAAUUCUUACUCCCUGAUGCUAUAUGGCUUGUCUUCGUGUUCUCGAUCACACUACUGAAUUGAAUAUAUCCUUGCUUGCACAAGUAACAGGCAUUUAGGAUGGUUGAUAACAAGAGUGAUGGGUCUGAAGGGGUCAAGUUCAACACAUCGCACCUGAUGCAAACAACCGAAGAGGUUGCAAGAGCAUUUAUUGCUGCUACUUCAGCUGCCACUGUGCAACCAACACGGCCAUCUGUCGUCUAUUCGUCUGGGGAAGAGAGUGGCAGCCCAAUGCAGAAGCUGCAGCAGCAAUUCUCGAAGAUCAUGAAAGGGUUUUCAAAUUCACCCGAAGUGUCUGGACCAUACAAUCCAGAGGUUCUCACGACACACAAGCGGCAGUGGUCGAGGUUCCAGCAGAAGUCAUUGGUAUGUAUGACACUACCAAUGUUCAAUUCAUGUCUACCUAUUAUGCUCUACUUGGUGUGGGAUAUGCUCUGCUGAUUAACUAAGGUGCUUAGCCAGAGCUGUAAUGUUAAUGAUUGAUGUGAUACCUGGCUUCUUUUCAAACUAAUAGGUAUAAGUUCAACCAAACCAUGUCAAUUUUCUGUAGUUGUUCAGUGACUCAAAGUGUCUUUGUCUACAGCUACUGUUUAAGCAUAAUACUCGUGUUUGCAGUUCAUCCUACUAAUAGUAUCUACUUGAUUUUCUUCCACUAGUUUAUGUAGGACAUAGUCUAUGUGUGGUCACGUGACACAAUGCCAUUUGUUUUGUUAUCUAUAUUGCUCUAGUGUCCAGGCUACCUACUGGUUUUGGUGUCUAUGACCGCCAUUUACUUUAACUGUUUGUAUUUGAUAUACUUUGAUUAACACUGUUCUCUAGUAUCUACAUUCAUGCAAUGUUGCUUUGAAGGGUCAUUAUCAGAGAAAAUUAUAUCCCAUGUUUGAUACAAGUGGAGUCUUGUCACUGAUAGCUCUUAAUUGGGCUCUUUUGGUUAGGAGCCUAUCAAGUAGCGAUUGAUAAAAUAUUGCUAAAUUACUUAAAACCUAUGAAAAACUUUGUUGUGCCUUGGUUAGAGGUUUGGGUGUUUGACUUGUGAGCUGCAGGAGCUAUUCUGCUGUUGGGAUAUUCAUGUUAGUCAUACUGUGAAGCAGUCUCAUAUUUCGAUAUCGAGGAGAAAUUACCAUUGUUCUGUUGGAAACCCUGAAAUUGGGCUUGCUUAGUACUCCCUCCGUCCCAAAAUAAAUAUCUCAACUUUGAUGAUGUGAGUACUAAAGUUGAGACACUUAUUUUGGGAUGGAGGGAGUACCUUCUACACAAGUGUACAAGUAUUUAUUGCACCUGCAGACACAAUUUGUUUGCUUUUGGGGUUCUUUUGAAAUCUGAUUUAAGUGCUUUAGGUAAGUAUGCAAUGUAGGCUCUUGCUACUAUUUGGCCGACUGCUUCCUGCUGAAUUGGCCUAGCAUUUUGAAACUAGUAGGACUGGUAAUUGUGGCAAAUGUUGAAGAGCAUAGUGCCUCAAGUUCUUUUUUGUUGGAACAGGGUAAUAGGUGCAUCAAAGAACCAUCACAUCUUUUCGAGAGCAUAGUGAUUGUUGGGCUUCCUCCUCAGGCAGAUAUCCAUGAGCUAGAAAACAUUGCUCUAGGGAGAAAUGAUGAUGAUGCAAAGAAAUCAAGACAUAUAUUUGGCAACAACCACCACCAAGUUCAUGCCGUAUCAAAUUUGGAACCUCAGGUUAUCACUCACAUCAUCUAUUGUUGCAUGUUCUUAUAAAAUGGAGGUCCUAUUGCUGCCUUUCUUAACGUGUCUGAACCCACAAUUCCCUUGCUUUUCCCCCCAGAAUAUACCCUAUGCUGAUAUUUUGUCUUGUCCUUAAGGUCCUUUUUGCAUACCCCCCUGAGAGGUCUCUUCCGCUUAAGUACAAGGAUAUCGUCUCGUUCUGCCUUCCUGGAGGUGCACAGGUCUGCCACAUUUGAACUACAUAACCCUGAUACUUAGCAUUUCUGUAUAAUAAAUGUUUGCGACGAUUAUACAUUGAACUUCAAUUUUACCAAGUUUUAUGGUGCUACCCUGAUACUUAGCAUUUCUUUAUAAUAAAAUGGUUGCGACGAUUAUACAUUGAACUUUAAUUUUACCAAGUUUUAUGGUGCUUCCUGUAUAGGUUAUAUUUUUUUACAGGGUUCACAUAUUGUUAUGUCUGGUUCAGUUCAUAAUACUGUAACUUGCCACCUGGGUUACAUUUCUAAUUAUAAUGCAAUAAAAAAAACGGCAAUGCCCAUGUGUAGGAAACAGAGUUAGGAGACAUCGAAGACAUCGAGAGAGAAGACCAAGAAGGAAAGUAAAAUAAAUAAAUUAGUUAGCACUAGCAUGUCCAGCCCCUGCUGAGUCACCAGCCUAGUUGUCUACGUCCAUCAUGCAUGCAAUACUGCAAU
rnacentral:lncRNA from 1 species